rnacentral:lncRNA from 1 species
UGUAAAAGUUCUAAGUAGCCUUAGUGGUUGAGCAAUGUGCUUUAGGCUUAGUAUAGUAUUAUUGUCUGUCUAGCGCUAUUAGAUAAAAUGAAGUUGGGGUAAAAGUAUAUAGGGAUAUGUUUCUGCGUUCUUUAAUGGGACCGCAGAAAAUAUAUCGUAACCGACUAUCCGCAAUAUGCGGAACACAGUAUUACGUAUAAAAAUAAACAGAAUAUUUUUUCAUCGUACUUUCUUAUCGCACGUAAAGUAAUUUGUUAAUAAUCCCAAAUAAAGCCUUAGUUAAUUAGUUGCCAAAGGCCACAUGAAUUCCAUGUAUGCAUGGUUAACUUUGGCAAGUGCAUGCUUUAAACAUACUGAGCAACACAUCACCCAUUGGCUAGUUAUCCUCACACUGAAUAAGCUAUUCCCUCUUAUUGGCUAGUUAUCUCCUGCAUAACAGAACAAUAUCUUUUAUAUCUCUUCUUUUCCCUUUUUUCCUAUAUAUAUAUAUAUAUAGAUAAGCAUAAAUAUAUACCCCAGAACACUAAUUCUCUCUCUACUCACAACAAUGGGGCUUCUCAUUUUAGCUUUAUCACUCCUCCUUCUAAACCCCACCCAUGCAUCUCCUUCCAAGAAGGGGCUCACCCUGGAGCUCAUCCACAGGGACUCCAUCCGCUCUCCGCGCUACUCGGAAAAUCUAAACCACCACGCUGGGCGAUUCCGGCGUCUCCUCGCGCUCUCCGAAUCCCGCCUGCAGCGGAUGACCUCCGAUCGGUUGCGCGGGGCGGGCCUUGGUCCGAUGGUCGAGAGCGAGGGCGAGGGGACGCACAUGGUGAAGGUCGGGAUCGGGAGCCCGGCCGUCGACCUUUACCUCUUCUUCGACACCGCUGGCAGCAUCACGUGGACGCAGUGCGUGCCGUGCGAUCCUUGCUUCCCGCAGCCGCCGCCGAUUUACGAUCCCGCCAAGUCCGCAUCAUACCGUGCUGUUGCAUGCGGCCACCCUCUGUGCGCGCAUAACGCGUGCGAGGAUGGCAAGUGCAAGUAUGAAAUAAGGUAGAUUGAUCUUUACAAAAUAUGUUGCGUGAUUGGGCUGAUAAGGACGUUGUGUUUUAAGUUUUGUUAUAAAUGAGUGCGCCUCUUUCGUUUCAGGUACGGACACCGCACUUUCACUAACGGGACCCUCGCGGAAGAGCAAUUCGCUUUCACGUCGUCGCGCUCUGGCGCGACAGAGAGGAUCGGAGGCCUCGUCUUCGGCUGUUCGAACAAAACCAGCCGGCGCAUGUUUGACGUGCCGCAUUUGAAGGCCGCCGGAAUCCUCGCUUUAGACAGAUCGCCGACUUCCUUUGCGACCCAAAUGUCCGACCGCAUCGGCGGCCGCUUCUCCUACUGCAUCCCCCCGCCCCACGCCCCGGCGGGCACCGGCUACCUCCGUUUCGGCGACGACAUCGGCGACACCCGCAACAUGCAAAGCACAUCAUUCGUGCGCAACGGAGCAAGUUUGCUACCGCACUACUACUUGAAACUCAACGACAUAAGCAUAGCCGACGAACGGUUAAACCUCCCGGCAGGAACCUUCGACAUCAAAUCUGACGGCUCGGGGGGGUGCGUCAUCGACUCCGGCUCGGCGUACACGCUUCUAUCCGAUGCCGCGUUCGUGCCGGUGAAGUCGGCGAUCGAGAAACACAUUGCGAGGACGUCGAAGAUGACGCCGGUCGACGCGAAGGCGUACGGGAUCGCGAGCAAUACUACUCUGUGCUACAACAACCCCGGGACCGAAGGACUCAGGAACUACCCGGCGAUGACGCUCCACUUCGAGGGGGCCGAUCUCCGGGUCGACACCGCGAACUUGUUCGAAGCCGUGCCGGAGUGUGGCUUGGUGUGCUUCACGGUGGCGCCGGCGAGUAUGACGUUGCUCGGGACCAAUUUGCAGCGUAAUGUGAAGUUUGUGUUUGAUGUGAGGAAGGGGGAGCUUGAGUUUGCUCCCGGAAAGUGUGGUGGAGUGUGAAGGGAAUUGUGUGUACAAAUUAAUAUUGUUUUCCUAUAAUAAAGUCUCAGGGAAAAAAAAAAAAAAGUUCAGUUUUUCUUUUACGUAUUCUGAAUUUGUAUAUAUUCUCGCUUUCUUUUUUUUUUUUCUGAAAGAAAAUAAUAUUUAGACCGCAUGAAAUUUAGUAAUAAAUAGUUAUAGUCAUACAAUUCAAAUGAAGUUAUAAUUAAUCCGCUUCUACGUACGUUGCAAAGAAAAAGAUAUUCAUCGCAUGUUAAAUGGAGAGCAUAGAAUACAAUAAAAAUGAAGUGACCCAAAACUAAUAUAAAAUUCUAAUUUUUAGUUUAUUAGUGCAUUUUAAUCUUGUUCUAUACAUAAAAUGCACACUCCCUUCUACAAUUCAUACAUAUCAAAAAAACUUUUACACUUAUAAAAUCUCCUAUCUUUUUAACCGUAGACUUAACAUCUCUCUCUUAGGGCUCGUUAGGUUCAUCCAUUUUGGAUAUCAAUGGGAAUCGGUUUGAUCAAAUCCGGUUAAUUUUGUUUGGUUCGAAGGAAUUAAUCGGUUUGAGAUUCCUAUUCCGAACUGUAAUGGGAAUAAUCCAUUAGCUUUUAACUUGAUUCCUGUCUGUUAGCCCGAGAUUUUAUUCCGAAAGUCCACUAAGUUCUCGAGGCCCAUAUAACCAUGUUACCCUCCUUCUCUUCACCCCUCUAGGUCUCAUUAAAAAAAAUUUGAUAUUAUUUUUAAAAAACUUAUUAGAGAAUAGUAUUAUAUUUUUCAUAAAUUUUAAAUAAUAUAAACUUAUAUAUAUUUGAGAGUAAAAAUAGUAUUAUAGUAUCUUAUAACAUUUUUAGUUUAUACGAACCAAACAAUGAAAUGUAAAUAACUCAUUCCAAUUUUUAAUCCACAAAUGAACCAAACGUCUUGGAGGAGUGAGCCACUCCAAUUAUUAUUCUAAUUCAAUCUCAUUCUAUUAUCCAUUCCAAUUUCACCCUGAACCAAACAAGCCUUUAAUGUCUACAACCCAAGAGAUGCUUUUUUUUUCGUUUAAUUGGCCAGUUAUCCAAAUCAUAAAGAAGUAACUGCUCUUUCUUUCUACAAUAGUCAAUAAAUAUCUCAAAGAUUUAACUCAAAGCCAUACUCAAAUUAACCACAUGCAUAUCCUCCCAUGGCUCCUUUCAUUUUAGCUAUCAUAGCUAUCCUGCAUAGAACUGCCGCGCUUGCAAACCCUUCUACAGCAAAGGGCUUCACCUUAGAACUCAUCCACAGAGACUCCAUCCACUCUCCGCUCUACCCCGGAAACCUCACCGCCGUCGAGAGAGUCCGGCGGUUUGUGGAUCUUUCCGAGUCCCGCCUCCGCCGACUCAAACUAUCGGUCUCUGCCGGCAAAUACAACGGCACCGCCUUACGACCGGAGCUUGAUCACGUCAACAGCAUGUACCUCGUCAAGGUCGGCAUCGGCACCCCCCCGACGACGCAGCAUCUGGUAGUCGACACCGCGACAGAUCUCACGUGGGUGCAAUGCCAUCCGUGCCGUUCUUGCUUCGAGCAAAACCCGCCCUUCUACAAGCCGGCCGCAUCGACUUCGCAUCGGACUACGCCCUGCAGCCACCCGCUUUGCAAGCCGUUCAAAUGCACCAGAGGCAAAUGCCGUUACGAAGACAGGUUAUAUAUAUCGACCCGUACCAAAAAUUACAAUCACUUGGUGCUAUUAAUAGUAUUUAGCCUAGUUCUAUAUAUAUAUAACUUAGUUUACGUAUGUGACUAACUGUUUGUGUUCGUUGGUUUUAGAUGAUUGUAUGUGAAGAAAUUAUUUAAUUGCCCUUUCAUACGAUGAUGCUUAUAUAGGGAAUUUUCAUCUUGAUAUUAUUGUGGUUGGCUCUAGGUACAUUGAUAAAACCUUUACGAAAGGAACCUUAUCAAUGGAGGUAUUCACCUUCGCCUCAUCGAACGGCGGCAGUGCAACCGAGUCGAUCCCGGGAUUAGUUUUCGGGUGCUCGACGGCGUCGAGCAAGCGUAUGUUCAAAGGCAGAAGCAAAGUGCCCGCCGGUCUGCUAGGCAUGAACAUGGAGAGCACAUCCUUCGCCACACAAAUCGCCGGCCAAACCGGGGACGGCCGCUUCUCGUACUGCCUCCCCCAGAUCGAUCCCCGCGAGCACCAGACCAGCUUCCUGCAGUUCGGGGGCGACAUCCCGGAGGGCCCGCAUUUCGCCGCAACACCGAUCGUAAGAAACGCGGAGGGAGCAAAAGACUACUACUUGAAGCUGCACGACAUAAGCGUCGACGGCAAAAGGCUGAAACUCCCGCGGAACACCUUCAAGCAGAAACCCGACGGGAGUGGCGGCUGCAUCAUCGACUCCGGCUCGGGGCUAACUUAUCUAGAAGAGAGGGCGUUCAACAGGGUGGAGGCGGCAAUGAUAGCAUAUUUUAAGAGAUUUGAGAACGUAAAGCGUGUUUUUGCGAAGAAGUAUAAGCUGAAGCUGUGCUACCGCGUGCCGGAGAGCUUCAGAGAAUGGCCUUCAAUGGCUCUUCAUUUCGAAGGCGCCGAUCUUCUUCUGCAACCGGUGAAUAUAUUCAUGACAGUAAAAGAUUGGAAGCGCGUAUUUUGCUUUACUAUGAUGCCGGAGAUCAGUGGCAUGACGAUCCUUGGAUCCUCACUGCAGCAGAAAUUUAGAUUCGUGUUCGAUGUUGCGAAGCAACAACUAAGAUUUGCACCGGAGAAUUGUGGUAGAACUUAGUAAGUAAUGGUACUUUUUGGAUGGCAUUUUUCACCAAUUUGAUCGUCAAAAUAAUAUUGCUUGCUCUUUCGAUCAUUCUCUCUCGAUCUGUUUUUGUGUGCAAUAAGUUGUAUUAAUUAGGCGUACAACCAAAAAGGAUUUAUAAUCGUACAAUGCUAAAACAAAAUAAAUUGAGCCAGCUUUUUUUGAAUAUCAGUAUUUAAAAAGAAAAAUAGAAUAAAUUAAUAAGAUUAGUGCACUAAACUUGAUUUUUAGAUAGUCAAAUCGGUCUCAAUGUCGAAGAAGUGGUGGAGUCGGAGCGGCGGAGUGCCGAUUCCGACUCUCACCAUGUACUCGGGGCCUUUUUCUUCUCCGAUGAUCAGUGUCGCACCACGGAUAAUGAAUUAAACCGUCGUCGGGCGCAUUCGGUGCCGUUUAGGGUUCCGGGAUAGAGCGGGGAGUGGACGGAGUAGUCCCUCUGGACGAGCCUUAGAGUGAAACCAUUGUUGCGGGGUGCAGUUGUAUGGCUAGGGUUUAGGAGGAAAUGCUAAUAGGAUAAUAAGUGCCAUUAAUAUUCUUAAUUAUUUGGGUUAGGGUGGGGGAAAUGGUGUUUGAGAAAUUUAUGGGGAAUUUAAGGUGAAAAUAUUUAAGGGACGUACAAAAAGGGCUUUUAGUGCAUGCAUGCAUGCAUGAGACACGUAGCCAAUAAUAAGUGGGAAUUUAGUUUUGUGCAUGUUUGGUUGUCCAUAAAUAAUCGAAGUGAAAAAACGUUACUCUUCAAAAAGUGCGUUCAUAGAAGUCACUUUUGAGUUAAAGUGUUUGGUUUCAAAAAAAAUGAAUGAAAAAAAUAUAAUUUUUAUGACUUCUAUUGUUUGGUUCUAUAUAAAGAUGGUAAGGAAUAAGGUACGUCUCUUCUUUAUUUAUUUAAAAAAAAGAUAUGUUAGUUUUUUUUUGUUAAGAUACGGUGGUUUUUUUAUUUUUUUUAUUUUUUAUAGAUGGUAUGAAAAAAUGUUUUUGGAUGCGGUUCGUAAGUUGCGUGGAGUAGACGGUCCACUUUCAACGACUUCGGAAUUUUUUUGCCGAAGUCAAAAAAAUGGAUUUUAAUUAUAAUCCACUUCACGGGUUCACUUUUCAAAAGUCGAUCCAAACAACCGAAAUAAUCCCACUUCGUCAAAAUACCACUUUUAUUGUUUCACUUACGAGCAACCAAACAUGCCCUUUAAGUGGUUUGAAAAACUUGGUCAAAUUCACCAGUUUGUGAAUGUACCCUGCUCACGCAAUUUGUGCGGCUUUUGUAUGAAGCUGAAGCUAAAGUUUAAAUAAAAUUUGUAUUUUGAAAUAAAAAUUAAAAUAUAUAUAACUAAUAGUCGCUAGCGUAAGUGGCAAAAAUUUUGGUAGUUGCUACUCGAGGUUUCAAGUUCGAAUCCUAAUUUAUUCACAUUUUCAACAAAGUUUAUUUCUAAAAAAAUAAAAGAAUCGGGUAGUAUCUCAAAAAAUUUAAAUUUAAAAUUUUUAAUUUUUAAAAUUAGAUAUUUGUAUUAACGGCAUUAUAUUUAUGUACCACUAAUAAACAAUUUAAUAGAGGUAUAUAUAUUCUUAAUGACACUAAUUGAUUUACAUUGAUAGUAUUUAUAAUAAAUACUGUUAAUAUUUUUAGCAAUAUUGGCAUAGACAGCAUUUGAUGUUAUAUGUUGCUAAAAUUUUUAGCAGCAUUUGUUGAUUAUUUAGCAGUAUAAAUAAAUGACACUAAUAGCUAAUUUUUUAGUAGUAUAUUAAUAUAAAAUUUUAAUUUUUAGUUUAUAAGCAUAUUUUAAUCUUGUUCUAUACAUAAAACGCACACUCCCUUCUGCAAUUCAUACAUAUAAAAAAAACUUAUACACAUAAAAAAUCACUUAUCUUUUUGACCGUAGACUUAGCAUCUCUCUCUCUCUCUCUCUCUCUCUCUCUCUCUCUCUCUCUUAAUGUCUACAACCCAAGAGAUGCAUAUUUUUUUCUUUUAAUUGGCCAGUUAUCCAAAUCAUAAAGAAGUAACUGCUUGUUUUUACUACAACAGUUAAUAAAUAUCUCAAAGAUUUAACUCAAAGCCAUACUCAAACCACCUGCAUGCAUAUCCUCCCAUGGCUCCUUUCCUUUUAGCUAUCAUAGCUAUCCUGCAUAGCACUGCCGCGCUUGCAAACCCUUCUACAGCAAAGGGCUUCACCUUAGAACUCAUCCACAGAGACUCCAUCCACUCUCCGCUCUACCCCGGAAACCUCACCGCCGUCGAGAGAGUCCGGCGGUUUGUGGAUCUUUCCGAGUCCCGCCUCCGCCAACUCAAACUAUCGGUCUCUGCUGGGAAAUACAACGACACCGCCUUACGACCGGAGCUUGAUCACGUCAACAGCAUGUACCUCGUCAAGGUCAGCAUCGGCACCCCCCCGACAACGCAGCAUCUGGUAGUCGACACCGCGACAUAUCUCACUUGGGUGCAAUGCCAUCCGUGCCGUCCUUGCUUCGAGCAAAACCCGCCCUUCUACAAGCCGGCCGCAUCGACUUCGCAUCGGACUACGCCCUGCAGCCACCCGCUUUGUGAGCAGUUCAAAUGCACCAGAGGCAAAUGCCGUUACAAAGAUAGGUUACAUAUAUCGACCCGUACAAAAAAUUACAAUCACUUGUACUAUUAAUAAUAUUCUAAUCUAGUUCUAUAUAUACAUAUAGAAUUAUGCUACUAUACUAUCAAUAGUACCAAGUCUUUGAUACUAUCGAGUUUUUGGCCGUUGGAUGAAAGGAUGUGCGGUUAGGAUGAUAGUGGUUUCCGGUUAAAUUGAUAGUGGUCUCCUAGGGUUGAGUUGGUGAUUCGUUUAAUAGUAUAAUCUAACGGGUGAAAAUGAUCAAAGGUAGAUCUAACGGUAGAAAACUCAAUAGUAUCAAGGGCUUAGCACUAUCGAUAGUAUAGUACGUAGCCGGACUCAUAUAUAUAAUUUAAUUUCUCUUUUAUUUUCAUCUUGAUAUUAUUGUGGUUGGCACUAGGUUCAUGGAUAAAACCUUUACGAAAGGAACCUUAUCAAUGGAGGUAUUCACCUUCACCUCAUCGAACGGCGGCGGCGCGACCGAGUCAAUCCCGGGAUUAGUUUUCGGGUGCUCGACGGCAUCGAGCAAGCGUAUGUUCAAAGGCGGAAGCAACGUGCCCGCCGGUCUGCUAGGCAUGAACAUGGAGAGCACAUCCUUCGCCACACAAAUUGCCGGCCAAACUGGGGACGGCCGCUUCUCGUACUGCCUCCCCCGGAUCGAUCUUCACGAGCACCAGACCAGCUUCCUGCAUUUCGGGGGCGACAUCCCGGAGGGCCCACAUUUCGCCACAACACCGAUUGUAAGAAACGCGGGGGGACCAAAAGACUACUACUUGAAGCUGCACGACAUAAGUGUCAACGGCAAAAGGCUGAAUCUCCCGCGGAACACCUUCAAGCGGAAACCCGACGGGAGCGGCGGUUGCAUCAUCGACUCCGGGACGGGGAUAACUUAUCUAGAAGAGAGAGCGUUCAACAGGGUGGUGGCGGCAAUGAUAGUAUAUUUUAAGAGAUUUGAGAACGUAAAGCGUGUUGUUGCAAAGAAGUAUAAGCUGAAGCUGUGCUACCGCGUGCCGGAGAGCUUCAGAGAAUGGCCUUCAAUGGCUUUUCAUUUCGAAGGCGCCGAUCUUCUACUGGAACCAGUGAAUAUAUUCAUGGGAGAAAAAGAUAGUAAGGACGUCUUUUGCCUUACGAUGAUCCCGGAGACCGAUGGCAUGACGAUCCUUGGAUCCUCACUGCAGCAGAAAUUUAGAUUCGUGUUUGAUGUUGCGAAGCAACAACUUAGAUUUGCGCCGGAGAAUUGUGGUAGAACUUAGUAAGUAAUGGUACUUUUUAGCUCGCAUUUUUCACCAAUUUGAUCGUCAGAAUAAUAUUGCUCGCUCUUUCGAUUAUUCUCUCUCUGUUUUUGUGUGCAAUAAGCUGUAUUAAUUAGGCGUACAACCAUGCUAAAAUAAAAAAAAUUGAGAUAGCUCCUUUUGAAUAUCAGUAUUCAAAAAAAAAAAAGAAGAAAAAAUUAAUAAAAUUAGUGCACUAAACUUGAUUUUUAAAUAGUCAAGUCGGUCUCGAUGUCGAAGAAGUGCAGUCGGAGUGGGGGAGUGCCGAUUCCGACUCUCACCAUGUACUCAGGGCCUUUUUCUUCUCCGACGAUCAGUGUCGUGCCACAGAUAAUGUGUAUUAAACCGUCGUCGGGCGCGUUCGGUGCCGUUUAGGGUUCCGGGAUAGGGAGGGAGUAGUCCCUGUGAACGAGCCCUAGAGUGAAGCCAUUGUUGCGGGGUGCAGUUGCAUGGCUAGGGUUUAGGAGGAAAUGCUAAUAGGAUAAUAAGUGCCAUUAAUAUUCUUAAUUUUUUGGGUUAGGGCGGGGGGAAUGAUUUUUGAGAAAUUUACGGGGAAUUUAAGGUGAGAAUAUCUAAGGGACGUACAAAAAGGGCUUUUAGUGCAUGCAUGCAGGCAUGAGAUACGUAGCCAAUAAUAAGUGGGAAUUUAGUUUUAAUGAAGUGGUUUGAAAAAGUUGGUCAAAUUUACCAGUUUGUGAAUGUAUCCUGCUCACGCAAUUCGUGCGGCUUUUGCAUGAAGCUGAGCUAAAGUUUAAAUAAAAAUUUGUAUUUUGAAAGAAAUCAUAGUAAUGAGGCUCAUUUGUCCUUAGUUGUUAUUCAAGUAAUCUUAAAAAUAAUAUUUUUCAAUAGAGAAAUAUAAGCAGUAUUUGAGAAUACUUAAUUACUAGGUAAGUAACACUGUAACAGGUAGAAAUUAUAAAAAUUAAUUUUUAAAAAUUAAAAUAAUUUUUGAUUAUAUGGAAUUAAUUAGCUAUCAUCUAUGUAAAAUAUAUAUAAAGUGAAAAAAAUAAAAAUUAGAAAAAUAAAAAUUUAUAAAUUCUCACUAUGUUAAAUAUAUCUCGACCCGACCCAUUUAGCCUGACUCAUUUCGCACGAAAAAAAUCAGUGAUUUGGUGGAAUCCGAUUAAGUAAUCGGGUACGGUUGCUCAUUAAUGGGCUACUAGGCCCGGUAGGCCUGUAAAAAAUAAUGAAUAAAGUAUGAGGGUUAUUUGGGCCAACCUAGAAUAGCCAAUUGGGCUCAUUAUAUAUUGGGGCCUAAUGGGCCCAAUGGUAAGCUUUUUAGUUAUUGUGUUUCUCGAUUUCCGACUUCACCGAAACUAUUAGAAAAAAUGCUAAUAAAAUUAGCAUUAAAUUAUUUGAUCUUAUUUAUUAUUAUAUUCGGUUAUUAUUUAAAUCAUAGUUGAGAUGAAAUCGAAUUGUAGCAUUUUAUAUAAUUAGUUAUAAAUAGUUAGGCGUGGAUUAUUUGGUUAAUGAAGUCGGAAGUAGUUAUAAUUAAUUAGCGCUCGCCGAAUGUUACGAUGAGUUAGCUUUUCUUCAAUAUAAUUUUAUUUUGCUUUGCUUUCAUAACAACGUACCAAAUUUUUUUUAUUUGUCUUUUUUACUCUCUUAUUUUUUUUAUUUUACUUUUUCUGCAUAUCUCUAUAUAUCAUAACAAAUAUAUAGAAUGUAUUUGUUGGAGGCGCACAACCGUAAUAGGCGCGAAUGCGGCGUCAGAUGUAUAGAAGCAUGUACGUCGAGCCGGAGUCGAUGACGCACCCUGGAACCGGAGGAUUCAGGAAAUACACGGCGAUGACGCUCCACUUCGAGGGGGCCGAUCUCCGGGUCGACACCGGCCGCGAACUUGUUCGAAGCCGUGCCGGAGCGCGGCGUGGUGUGCUUCACGGCGGCGCCGGCGAGUAGGACGUUGCUCGCGGGGACCAAUUUGCAGCGUAAUGUGAAGUUUGUGUUUGAUGUGAGGAAGGGGGAGCUUGAGUUUGCUCCCGGAAAGUGUGGUGGAGUGUGAAGGGAGUUGUGUGUACAAAUUAAUGUUCUCAUAUAAUAAAGAGUACUCUGGCAAAAAAUAGUUCAGUACUUUUUUCUUUUACAUAUUUUGAAUUUGUAAUCUCGCUAUCUUUUUUUUUUUUUGAAAGAAAAUAAUGUUCGGACCACGUGAAAUUUAGUAAUAGAUUGUUCUAGUCAUACAAUUCAAAUGGGGUUAUAAUUAAUCCGCUUCUACGUUGCAAAGAAAAUAAUAUUCAUCGCAUAAUCGUCGCUUGUUAUAAUGGAGAGCAUAGAAUUACAAUAAAAAUGAAAAGUGACCAAAAAUUAAUAUAAAACUCUAAUUUUUAGUUUAUUAGUGCAUUUUAAUCUUGUUCUGUACAUAAAAUGUACACUCCCUUCUACAAUUCAUACAUAUCAAAAAAACUUGUACAAAUAUAAAAUCACCUAUCUUUUUGACCGUAGACUUAGCAUUUCUCUCUCUCUCUCUCCUUUUAAUGUCUACAACCCAAGAAAUGCAUUUUUUUUCUUUUAAUUGGCCAGUUAUCCAAAUCAUAAAGAAGUAACUGCUCUUUUUUACUACAACAGUUAAUAAAUAUCUCAAAGAUUUAACUCAAAUUAAGCCAUACUCAAAUUAACCACCAUAUCCUCUCCCAUGGCUCCUUUCCUGUUAGCUAUCAUAGCUAUCCUGCACAGCACUGCCGCGCUUGCAAACCCUUCUACAGCAAAGGGCUUCACCUUAGAACUCAUCCACAGAGACUCCAUCCACUCUCCGCUCUACCCCGGAAACCUCACCGCCGUCGAGAGAGUCCGGCGGUUUGUGGAUCUUUCCGAGUCCCGCCUCCACCGACUCAAACUAUUGGUCUCUGCAGGCAAAUACAACGACACCGCCUUACGACCCGAGCUUGAUCACGACAACGGCAUGUACUUCGUCAAGGUCGGCAUCGGCACCCCCCCGACAACGCAGCAUCUGCUAGUCGACACCGCGGCAGAUCUCACGUGGGUGCAAUGCCAUCCUUGCCGUUCUUGGUUCGAGCAAAACCCGCCCUUCUACAAGCCGGCCGCAUCGACUUCGCAUCGGACUACGCCCUGCAGCCACCCGCUUUGCAAGCCGUUCAAAUGCACCAGAGGCAAAUGCCGUUACGAAGACAGGUUAUAUAUAUCGACCCGUACCAAAAUUACAAUAACUUGGUGCUAUUAAUAGUAUUUUAGCCUAGUUCUCUCUCUAUAUAUAAAACUUAGUUUACGUAUGUGACUAACUGUUUGUGUUCGUUGGUUUUAGAUGAUUGUAUGUGGAGAAAUUAUCUAAUUGCUCUUUCAUAAGAUGAUACUUAUAAUAGAGUAUCCUCUUUGUUCGAUUUUGGUUCGCACUAGGUACCUUGAUAAAACCUUUACGAAAGGCACAUUAUCAAUGGAGGUAUUCACCUUCGCCUCAUCGAAUGGCAGCGGCACGACCGAGUCGAUCCCGGGCUUAGUUUUCGGGUGCUCGACAGCGUCGAGCAAGCGUAUGUUCAAAGGCGGAAGCAACGUGCCCGGCGGUCUUCUAGGCAUGAACAUGGAGAGCAUAUCCUUUGCCACACAAAUUGCAGGCCAAACCGGGGACGGCCGCUUCUCGUACUGCCUCCCCCGGAUCGAUCCCCGCGAUCACCAGACCAGCUUCCUGCAGUUCGGGGGCGACAUCCCGGAGGGUCCGCAUUUCGCGGCAACACCGAUUGUAAGAAACCCGGAGGGAACAAAAGACUACUACUUGAAGCUGCACGACAUAAGCGUCAACGGCAAAAGGCUGAAUCUCCCGCGGAACACCUUCAAGCGGAAACCCGACGGGAGCGGCGGUUGCAUCAUCGACUCCGGGACGGGGAUAACUUAUCUAGAAGAGAGAGCGUUCAACAGGGUGGGGGCGGCAAUGAUAGUAUAUUUUAAGAGAUUUGAGAACGUAAAGCGUGUUGUUGCAAAGAAGUAUAAGCUGAAGCUGUGCUACCGCGUGCCGGAGAGCUUCAGAGAAUGGCCUUCAAUGGCUUUUCAUUUCGAAGGCGCCGAUCUUCUACUGGAACCAGUGAAUAUAUUCAUGGGAGAAAAAGAUAGUAAGCACGUCUUUUGCCUUACGAUGAUCCCGGAGACCGAUGGCAUGACGAUCCUUGGAUCCUCACUGCAGCAGAAAUUUAGAUUCGUGUUUGAUGUUGCGAAGCAACAACUAAGAUUUGCGCCGGAGAAUUGUGGUAGAACUUAGUAAGUAAUGGUACUUUUUAGCUCGCAUUUUUCACCAAUUUGGUCGUCAAAAUAAUAUUGCUCGCUCUUUCGAUCAUUCUCUCUCUGUUUUUGUGUGCAAUAAGCUGUAUUAAUUAGGCGUACAACCAAUGCUAAAAUAAAAUAAAUUGAGAUAGCUCCUUUUGAGUAUCAGUAUUCAAAAAAAAAAAAAAGAAGAAAAAAUAAAUAAAAUUAGUGCACUAAACUUGAUUUUUAAAUAGUCAAGUCAGUCUCGAUGUCGAAGAAGUGCAGUCGGAGUGGCGGAGUGCCGAUUCCGACUCUCACCAUGUACUCGGGGCCUUUUUCUUCUCCGACGAUCAGUGCCGCGCCCUGGAUAAUGUGUAUUAAACCGUCGUCUGGCGCGUUCGGUGCCGUUUAGGGUUCCGGGAUAGAGCACGGGGAGUGGACGGAGUAGUCCCUGUGGACGAGCCCUAGAGUGAAGCCAUUGUUGCGGGGUGCAGUUGCAUGGCUAGGGUUUAGGAGGAAAUGCUAAUAGGAUAAUAAGUGCCAUUAAUAUUCUUAAUAUUUUGGGUUAGGGUGGGGGGAAUGGUGUUUGAGAAAUUUAUGGGGAAUUUAAGAUGAGAAUAUCUAAGGGACGUACAAAAAGGGCUUUUAUUGCAUGCAUGCAUGCAUGAGAUACGUAGCCAAUAAUAAGUGGGAAUUUAGUUUUAAUGAAGUGGUUUGAAAAAGUUGGUCAAAUUCACCAGUUUGUGAAUGUAUGCGGCUUUUGCAUGAAGCUGAAGCUGAAGUUUAAAUAAAAUUUGUAUUUUGAAAGAAUUCUUAGUGAUGAGGCUCAUUUGUCCUUAAUUAGUUGCUGUUCAAGUAAUCUUAAAAAUAAUAUUUUUCAAUAAAGAAAUAUAAGCAAUAUUUGAGAUCAAUACUUAAUUACUAGGUAAGUAACAGGUAGAAAUUAUAAAAUUUAAUUUUUAAAAAUUUUAAUAAUUUUUCAUUAUACGGAGUUAAUUAGCUAUCAUCUAUGUAAAAUAUAUAUAAAGUGAAAAAAAUAAAAAUUAGAAAAAUAGAAAUUUAUAAAUUCUCACUAUGUUAAAUAUAUCUCGACCCGACCCAUUUAGCAUGACUCAUUUCGCACGAGAAGGAUCAGUGAUUUGGUGGAAUCCGAUUAGGUAAUCGGGUACGGUUGCAUCAUUAAUGGUCUAUUAGGCCUAGCGGGCCUUAAAUAUUGAAAAACAAAAAAAAAUAGAAUAUGAGGGUCAUUUGGGCCCACUUAGAAUAGCCUAUUGGGCUCAAUUAUAUAUUGGGGGCCUAAUGGGCCCAAUAGUGAGCUUUUUAGUUAUUUUAUAGAAUAAAGGGAACAAAAUAAAUGAAAAUAAUAAACCAUUGAUUGUUACGUUUUUACUGAUCUCAUCAGUUCACGAUGAACCAAAUAACGAAAGUUGCAGAGUUUCAUUCCAAUUCCACUUCGUGUGCCCCACUUUUAGAAUAAACAAAUUGUACUUUAUGUCGAUCAGCAUAAUUAUAACGCAUUAUACAUUAUCGCUUUAUUAGAUAUUCGUAUUGGAAAAUAUUUUUUGUAAAAAAGGGCAUGUUGUGGUACUUUUUUAUGUUUUAAGUUUUCAAUUGGCAAUUUGGAGAUGAAUUCUUCUUCUUAUUAUUGUUUUUUUUUUACUUUAAUAUGAUAUUGGUUAUGAUCAUUGAUUCAUUAGUUCUUUGAUUGCAUGUGCAUGAACAGUCAUUCAUCAGGAGCUUUUGCCAAACUAGAAUGGAAGGUCCUACAAUAAAAACUCUACUUUUGGAAUAAGUGCUUUUGUUAGGGAGUGGCACCAAUUUCUAUGGGUAAUUUCUAGCCUUUGAAGUGUACUCUAAUCAACAAUUGAAUACUCUUUUAGAAGUACAGAGAUACUAAAUUAUACUUUUUGCCUAAACUUUUUGGCUUUUGUUUCUUACUAACUUUGAAGAUUAUGGAGAAGUUUCCAGAAUACUCUGGCUUUUGCUUUUUCUAAUAGCCAUUCUUUCUUAAUUUCUGUAGAAUAUACUGUGUCAAUUGAUUAAAAGCCUCCUUUUUAAGUUCUUAAGAUCUUGAUGAAUGUUGGGAAACCACAGAUUCAGCUGCCUAAAAAACAAAAAAAAGAGCCCCUUUUUAAAGGGGGAAAAAAAAAUAAAAAAACUGAUGAUUGGAAAAAGAGUUGAGAGUUGAGAGAAUCAAGAACAGGGUGCUGCUGCUAAGGAUGAAGAUAAUUCUAAAACCAAAAAGACAAAAAAAAAAGGGAAAAAAAAAAAGAAGCUGAUUUCAAGAAGCAGCAAAAUCUACUCUAGAGAGGGAAAAAAAAAAAAGAAGCUAAAUCAAAGAGGAAACAUUAGAUUGUGUGGAUUCCCAGUAUCUUUCUCUUGUUCAAUAAAUUUGGGUUGAUUUUAUUACUUUUAUGCUAAUUAUAUUUCUGUGUUCUUGUUACAACUCAAAAGUCAGGAAAAGGAACCCACCCUUUAAUAUAAUUAAGCAGAUCAAAAUUCUCCUACUGUUGACACAAUUAACAUCUUUUAACUGCUAAUCCCAUAAUUUUAUUACAACUUCAUGAUAAGCUAAUCGUUUUAUCUUGUUAGAAGCUGAGUUUUAACAGGAAUUAUGUACUUGGAGAGAGAUAUUUUAGCCUACAAAUAUCAAAUUUUGCACCCACAACCAAGGUCUCUGUUAACAACAGCAGUUUACAAUUUUCCAACAUUGUGAAACAACAAGAUUUAUUGAGAAAUAGAUAGAUAAAGAAACUGAACCAGUGCUGUUCCACACAGAUACACAUAAAUAUAUAUAUAUGUCUGUGUAAUCUGAAAGAAGAGCAGAACCAAACCAAUCAACUGCUUUGAGAAACAAUUGUUACGACGGAGUCGCGGAGGCGGCUCUCGAGCCCUCAGCGGCACGGAUAGACUCUGACCACCUUACGCCGGCGAGGGGUUGUGCAGAGGAGCAGCAACACCAGCGCGAUUAUCGCCGCCACGAGGAGCCCCAGAACAUUGAACCCGCCGUCAUCGUCAGAAUCAUCAGAACAACAAACCUUCCCCAUGAAGACAAAAAAAAAAGAUAGGAAAGAGAAAGAAAAGAAUUUGUGGAGAAUUCUGAAGAUGAAAAUUGCUGGAACUGAGAAUUCUAAUGGUUAGGAAUGAAAGAAGCCUUAGGCAUGAAGAAUCUCUAUUAUUAUGUAUGUAUCAGUGGAAGGAGUUGUUCACAUAUCACUAUCAAGUAUUUUCUAAACACCCAACCACCACAAAUUGAAGGUGCAUUACUAGUUUGCUACUCCAGAAUUGGAACUUUACUGUUACAUUUCUCACCCUAUAUUUGCCUAACUAAGUAAAAUUAUCAAGUAAUAAUUUAAUUUUGUUAAAAAAUUGCAAACCAUUAAGGGUGAGCAUGUUCAGAAGACUCAUCUUGUAUAUAGUAUUUUGGAAGCAUAUGUUUCAGGAUCAAUCAAAUCGCGGCAAGUAGCGCAAUUUCAUCCUUAUCUUAAUCAUGACUACUAUUUGAUACAUUUAGUUCUUAAAGACAUACAAUAGUUUUGAAUUAUAAUUAAAAUUGUGGUCGGAGAUGCAUGUAAUUGAAAAUACAACAAUUACAACUACGUACCUCGUAUUUUGUUGGAUGCAGUAAAAAGUGCUGCAACUAUAAAUAAUUUAUUUAGUUGAAAAGAUAAUUAGGUAAGUAGUUUAAACUUACUCUCUCCAGUAGCUAUAAUUGAAAUUGUAUUUGGGUGUAAUUCCAAUUACUGUAAUUGAACUUAUUCUGCAGUUCCAACUAUAAUAGUUGAAUUCAAAUAGAUCAAAAUUAAUCAUUAAAAUUAAAUUUGUAUGUAAUUACAGUUGUAACUUUACACGACCAAACAACCCUCAACGAACUCGGUCGAAGUCAAGGUCUUCUUCUAUAAAAUAUGCUGUGGAAAUCGUACGCAAGCUGAAAAUUCUACAAUCUUAUUAAGAUUUGAUUAAAAACGUUGUUGACGAUCACAUCAACACGGCAGUUUUGACUGUUUUGACUUGCCCACGUUCAUACAAUCGAUCCAACGUAUAAGAUACACAAUUUAAAAAAAAAGGUAUGAAAAUUAUAAAUUAAAAAAUAAUGGGGGGUUUACUGCAGUGUCAUUCUCAUGUCUAAUGUCAUUUUUACUAUCUCCUACUCUGCUUGGGCCUUGGGGGUUGUCUGGUCAAACUUUUUUAAAAAAACAUUUAUGUAAAAAAUAAAUUUUUUUUGGAAAAUUAAAUGAACAAAAUAUGUUCUAGUUAGAAAACUGUUUUCUAUAAUAUAUUUCGGAGACGAAACACCCCAUUACCUCUUAACCUUUUACUUCAAGAAAUUGCUACAAUAUUAGCAGGAAAAAACCCAAGACAUUUUAAUUACCUGUAUACCCCUUGUACAUUUGAAAAUAUUCGAUUUACUCUUUUUUUUUUUCUUUCUAAAAUACUCCUCAUAUGUUUUAUUGUUAUUGCAAAACACUCCCACAGUUAUCUCCUGUUAAAUUAACUUGGAUUAAAUGUGAGUUGAAUAUCUACCACAGUUAAAAAAAUUAAAAUACAAAUUUUACCCUUAAUUUAAGGGCAAAUAAGAAAUGUUGGCGAUGACAACAGAAGGGUAUAUUUGACAAGAUUAAAAGUCAAAAUACUUUUUGUGUCCAUGACUUUAAGGACAAAUAAAAAAAAUUAGUGACGGUGAAAGGAUAUAUUUGAAAAGAUAAAAUAAUAAUUUCAUAACGAUAACAAAGUUCAUUAACAGAUUUUAACUCUUGGGGUAUAUUAGAAAAAAAUUGGAACGUAAAACGAGUAUUUUCAAUAUUAACCUUCUAAAAAGGAUAAAUCAGAAAGUCGAAAAUUUUUCAGGAAUAUAUAAGCAAUUGCCUCUUUAAAAAAAAUAGUUACAGAUACCAUGUAACAUACAUACAAGAUGGCUUACAGUAAUUUAAAUAAGAUUUCGCAACAUUAAGGUCCAACCUUUUUCUCUUAUGUAUUAUUUAGAAUAACAAGCAUUUUACCACAACAACAAUUGAAAUGAAUGAAGAUGUUCCAGCAACAAGCGCGCUGAUACGAACUGUUUACAACAGUACUAAUCUGGCCACGAAAAAGGGACCACCAAGUUCCCCUACCAAUUGAGUCAAAAUUUGGUACCCACCAAGAGAAGAAAAAUUAGGUAUAUUAAAAGAUUAUAAAGCUUGUGGUCACACAAAGUUUAGGGCCCUCUGAAUUACGUAAAAUUAAGUCGAAUAAUGUCGCUCUCUUCUAUGUCCCUUUUGACAUCUCCUUCUAACCUGAAGCUCAUCAUCAGCUAACGAUUGUCCGAGGUUGGCAAUAACUUCAAGCUUCCUGGCGAGCUAGUUCUUCUAUAUUAACCUUAACAUCAAGGCCCAUGUUUAACAGUGAAUUGAUCAUAGCCGGAAUGUCAGCUUUCAAGGAUUCUGAUAGAACCUGCUCACCGAGAUUUAAGGGUUUCACAGUUCAUAUAGAAAAUUUCAGAAAAAAAAAAGCCCGUAAGUGAUAAAUUUUUUUCUCAAAGGUUGUUUUCAGAGAACAAUUAAACAAUAGGACAAAAAGGCAAUUUUCAUAUAAAAUGAUAAACAAAAAAAAACCAAAAACUUUGGAAUCAGAACAGGACAAUGAGCAAUAUGAUAGGAAUUUACCUUCCUCUCAUCUUUCUUUUGUCUUUUUACAACCUCCGGCGGCCACUCACUGACAAGCUUUUCCAGUUCAUCCCCGAUUUUUUCCUUUUUCGGAUCAGGCAAAUUCUGCAGCGCAUAUCCAGUCAAAGAUGUAACUUAGGUAUAAUUGGAUAAACCAACACAUUUCCAGUGCUCAACCGACCAAAUAUUUGAUGCUCAGUUUCUACUACUAAACUUAUCCUUCGAUUGCAGCUACGUUAGUCAAUGAUAGUUUUAGCCCCUCCACAGAUUUAUUCAAUAAAUAUUAGCAUAAUGAUGUUUUAUUAACAAUUUGUACAGAUGAAGUACUUCAAAUAUUUCCUUUCCAUUUUCUCAAAAAACUUUAAAAACAAAACUUCUACUUGUAGAAAGUUACAAUGUAAGUAUACAUUACUACCAAACCCAUAGCGUGACAUGCGACAAGCUGUAACCUAAUUCUAAUAUACUUUAUAUCAAUGUUUCAAGUGUCAAUAAUAAAUCUGUUGAUUGAAUCAAACUUGCUGCUAGCUGAGCCAACCUGGAAAAGAAGAUGUAUGGCUGUAGCAGCACUCUCUGGUUUACGUUCAAGUAGAAAUCCCUGCAAAAAAAUUGAAAAGAAAUCAAUUAGUUGCAUAGUUGAACUAGUUAGCCGAGCUUUACAUGGAUCUACGAAACGAACUAUUCUUGAUGGAUAAAGUGUAAUGGCUCUCCUUAUCGUAGGUAAACAAUAGCAAAGAUUUGGGGCGUGCAAUGUUAGGUCUUCAUUAACAUGUCAAUAAUAAUAUGGGCCAGUACACAGAAAGAUAUACGUAACGUCCAUCUGUGGGUAAGUUUUGCCUGCUACCAAUGAACAGUAAACUGCAAGAAGAUCUACAGGCAAUCUAUAGGCGGUAAUUUGGUGAAGAAAUUGAAGAAUAAAAAUGAGUAUUUUAGCCAAAAUCAAUUGCAUCUGAAGCAAUCAAUUAAGCGUCAAUUGAAAGCAAGCCAAGUAGUUCCAAACAUCUGAAUAAUUACCUUCGCACACGAAAACCCACUUGUAAGAGUAUGUUGCUUCACAGACUUAGCUCUCAGUGAAUCAAUCUUCCAUAUAGAUUGAGAAUCCCCUGGCACAAGAAGCAGAAAUAUUUAACUGAACAAUGGCUACUUUUUUUCACAAUAUUAACAUGCAAUAUCUACAUCACUGACUUCAUGGAAUAUUCUGAAUAGGAACUGGAGUGCAAUAUUGUAUUAAUUUGCAAACAUAGACUCUUCAAGCACAUCACGUGUUAACAUCAGUAGUGCUGAAAUUCAUAAACAGCAUAUGAGAUUACAAAAAAGUGGCAAAUAUUUCUCCAAUCCUGCAUUGUGAUAGUAUUGAUUAUUUAAAAUUUCUUAUAGCUAAAUAUACAAUGCAGAUAUAAGUUUCCUGAAAGAACAGUGAGAUGCUUACCGACUUUCGCAGCAAAGUCCAUCCAAAUAUCAAACGCUGUUCGAUGCAGUUUAACUCCGGCUUUUAUAAAUCUUUUUGCAUUUUUUGAGAUCAAAUCCCAUCUAUCGGUGUUGUAACAGAUGCUGUAAAAGAGCAGUAGAAGGUUGAGAAUGCAACACUCAAAAUUCUGGCUCUAGACAAUAAGAUGGUGAUAGAAUGCAAAUUUGUUUGCUACUUGCUAUACAGAAGCUCAGUAAAAUAAGCAUAAUAAACAUUUGGUUGGCAUAAUAUAGUUGUCUAUUCAGCUCAAUUCAUCAUAUAAUUUAAACUGAAGGAUUGCCAUUACAAUAUAAAGACUGAAAUCAUGAAAACAAUACAUACCUGAACACUAUGUCGGCAGUACCCGGUUGCAAUGGCAAUGAGUUCUUCUGGAGGACUUGCAUAAUCUUCCCCAUGAGUUUAGCAUCAUUGUGCUCUUUAGCAUAAAGCUGAAACAGAAACUUAGUUACUAUUCAACCUGGCAAAAGGAAAAGGCAGUUGACAUCAUCAAUUACCAGUAAAUAAUGAGCAGAACCAAUGGUUGGAGUUAAUCCAUAAACAUUAUGCUUCCAUAAGGCCUUCAAUCCUGCGAGAAGGGAACAACACCAUUAUCAAUUGAGUGCAAGAAAAAGAGCUGGCAUGAAGCAAUAAUUAUUUUCUCUAUUCUCAUUCUCGGUAUCCUUUGGUGAGCCAACACUACUAAGAAUCAACAAAAAUCAUGGUACGGAAUAUCUAAAAGAUUCAUCGUAAAAAACUAAAAUAAGAUAUGCUAACAUUUUUUUUUAUAUGUGGUAAUUCCAUUGACUUUGACUUUUUUGUUGUAACUAUUGUAGUAUACAUAUCAAACGAAGGGGCAAAGCAAAAGGAUUUGUAUUGAACUUCAGUGGGAACUUUCCAGGGCUAUAAAACUGAAAUAGCUAGAAAGAAGGUACACGGAUCCCAUUGAAAAUGAUGUUUCAUAUUGGAAGAAGACUGUUGACUAAUAUUCAGUUUCCAUUAGAAUGAAAAGUGGCUAAAUGAAAAGAGAAAAAUGACAAACGGGAGCGAUGAUCAGCAAAACAUACUUAUGAGCAAAACCAUCUUGUUUUCUGUUUGACCCAUAGUCACAUGUGAAAUAGCCAACUUAGCAUAACUUUUCUCGAAAAACUCUUAUUAAAAUAACGUCCAACUUAGAAUAGCCAAUAUAUUAUCACGAAAAGUGAGUCAUAAUAAGAGAGUAAAGGCCCAUAAAUCAAGUUAAGUUACUAACUUCUUACUCAGAGUGUUUAGCCCAUCAAGUCUAGUUGCAUUUGAGAAUGUUUUCAUGGCCAAACAGAAGCAAAUUAGCAACUGAAUGAGGGAAGGAAAAUUAAAACACAGCCUAAGUAAUCUAAACUUUCAGAAAGAGCAAUCAAGUGUCUAUAACACAUAAUUGAGAUAGUUUUGGUUCUGAAAAGCAUAUCCUAUGCGAACUGAUUAAUAUCCAGUACAAAAGCAUAAUAUCCUACAAAUUGGGUCUUAGAUAUCGAACAACCUCUUGUAGUAUGGAAUCAUCAUAAAUAAACAAGUGCAAAGCAAACCAAGUAUUGACUUGCCAAAUUGACAUAUGUAGCAUACCAUAGUCAAGAGAACCAACACGGGCACAAGUCUCAGUGACUCUCAUACAAAGAUGGCUGUUAAAAUUUGCAUGUAUGCGAAGAUUUGAUAGCCUCUGCAUCGAAGAAGAAAUACUUUAAAUUCUAGUUGGUAGUACGAUAUGCACAUUACUGUUUAUCAUUUUUGUAGACUACAUCACUAUCACUGUUGCCGUACAUUACGUUUUGAGAAAAAGAGCGAUUAUAUUUACGAGAGAAAUCUAUGAACUCACAAAUAUUCUUAGUUUCUCUAACAUCUGAAAAAGAAGCUUUAUGUCAUCUUGACUGGAACAUUUACUAAUCAAUGACCACAACCAAGCAUUUGGAGGCAUGGUUCGGGCUUCGACAGAUUUUAGCAUUUUUUGGUAUAGCUCCUCCACGGUUUCUGCAUAACAAAAGGAAACAACAUUAUCAAGUACUACUUGAUAGCAUUACAGGACAAGUUCAAUAAAGUUAUUUCAUAUGCGAAAAAAUUAGAUUGCGCCAAGUAAAUAACAACAAACUAUCAAACAAUUAAAAGUCCUAUCACAACUUGUCUACACAAGGGAAUACAAGAAUAUAUCGAGUUUGCCUUAACAAGUAAUUUUUCCCAGAGUUUGACAAAAGAAACAUGCAUAAUUGCAGUAGUAUGGAAGGGAUGAACAACAAUUGUGCAAACAAAAAAAGGAAGACCGCUGUAUAUUUUACACAUAAAAGGGAAACAAAGAGAGGAAACGAACCUGUAGGAUCUCCAGACUCUUUAUUUGCCUCUGAAGAGAAACAGGCCCCAUUGAUGGGAUAUGGCAUUGGAUGAUCUCCCCAUUGUUUCAAACUAGCAGUUAAACGCAACAAGUUGCUACAAGUAACUCCUGAAAUUCAUAAAACGAAAAACAUAAAAGUUAAUGCGAUGAAAACUGGCCAGAAAACAUUAGAACAAAGUAAAGACAAUCUUUAGUUCUCCUAAUUUCCUGUUAAAUGAGUUUUAAAUGGUUAGCAAGAAAUCAUGUCUACAUGUGUAAAGAAAAUUAGACUAGGCUUGUGUUCAGCUCUAAACUUAGCUCAGCAAGGGCUCACUCAGAUUGGCGUGAUUACUAAACAAGGCUAGCUUCAGCUUAGCCUAGCUUGCUCACACUUAGCUUGACCAACCUCGAAAAAAUGAAAUUUUCUUUUUUAAGAAAAACAAGUACAAAAAUGUAUGGUAAUAGUCUGCAGCGAAAUCUCAAUUUAUUGUAAUUCAAGUGAAGAAUAGAUAUUUCACGUUAUUUGAUAAUAAAUAUUGAACUGAAUUAAGAAAUAUAUUUGACGAAAGCUUGCAUAAAUAUUAACCACAGCAAUCCUAUUCCCAAGGUAGUUCAAUUUCGACUUGAAAUUACGCGCUGCCUCGAGCACAACUUGAUAAUCACGCAAUCCAAACUUGAUCUUAUCUUAGCUCACUUGAGAUCCAGUAGUUAACACCCCUAACGGGCCACGGUCGUUGUGUUUUCGAGUUUGUUCCAAUAAAAAACAUGAUAAAGAAACUGACACAGCAUAUUCUUCAUCUUUUUCCCAAAAUCUUUUGUAAAACCUACAAUCAUCCAAUCAACUUUUACACGAUCCCGUCAAAAGACAAUGAUAUGUGAUCAUAAAUUUUCCUGUACAUAUCGCGUCAAAUUAAUCAAAAUCUACAAUUUUCACUACGGUACAUUAUAGCCAAUUGCAAAGAAACUCACAAACGAGGAGCAAAAUCUACAUUUUUCAAAGAAUCAUUCACCAAACACAAACCAUCACACUAAUAGAGAAGCAACAACCAAAACUCGUACGAAAUUUGGAAUCGUUAGAUCAAAAGGCGUGGAAUCGAUUGGAGAAAAGGAGACGCACCGAAUGGGCUGAGCGGUCGAAAGGAGAAGCUCCUUGCGCGAGGCCACGGCUCGGCGACGGGGGCGGCGGCGGCGCCGCCGAGCUCCGCCGCGGCGGCGGCGGCGGCGGAGGGGGAAGGGGAGACAGAAGGGCGUGGACGGAGAAGGGUGGAGAACGGAGGAAGGCGCCGACGCGCGCGCGAGAGGGCCUGCAUCGCUUUUGGCUUCGGCGGCCGCGGGUGGGGGAGACGGGGAGAGUGGUGACACACGAUCGUGCUCGGGGUUUUGGAAAUGGGUUUUUUUUUUUUGCGGGUUUCGGGUAGGAGAAGAUUGGGUUUGGGUCUGGAUCCGAACCGGAAUUGCUAAUAGAGUUCGGAAUAAUAAAAAGCAUUUUAAUUUAUUCUUACAUAUUUAAAAUGCCAUAUUAAUUGAUUAAUUUACUGUAUGUCAUUUUAUCUUUUUAAUUUUAAUUUGAUAAAAGAAAUGGUAAAAUGCGGCGAGAAAUUCAUUACGUGUCAAAUGGACCAUACCGGAUCUGAAACGGGGGGUCGAUCCAACCCGACUCAAACGCAACCGGGUUAAACCCUAUUUCGCCCCAACCCGUGACUCAGAGCACCCGACCCGUCCCUUCACCCUUUUGUUUCGGAAGUGGUAGUGGCCACUGUGCGCGCACACUCGGCACCGCUUUUUUGCUCUUUCCCUCCCAUUCAAAAACCCAAAACCCUUACGCGGAGCCAAGAAGACGAAGACGAAGACGACGAAGGCGAAGGAGAAGGAGAUCGACGUAGCCAUGGCGAACGACGUGGAGAUGAGCGGGUGGUCGGGUCUCCUCAACUCCUCCACGAAGCUCCUCGAACAAGCCGCUCCCUCCGCCCAAUUCCCCCCUCUACAGGUUCCCAAUCCCUAACUCUCUCCCUCUCGAUCUCUGGAUUUCGAUCCCUGCAUCUCUUCAUCGCCAGCCAUGGAUCGAUUCUUGAUCGGUUUAUUUGGCUUUGCAGAGGAGUUUGGAUCAGUUGGAGACGCUCUCCACCAAGCUCAAGACCAAAACCCUAAGGGCCGAAACACCCUCGCAAUCCAUCUCCGCCACUAGGUUUGCGCCUCUCUCUUUUGCUUCUGAUGACGUUUUUAGGUUUUCUCUUAAGCUGCGUUUCCUUUUGGGUUUUUUUUUUGUGGUAAUUAAUAUUUUCUUGCAAAUUUUAUUUGUUUUUUCGUUUAUGAGCAAACGUUGACGUUUAAGUUGGAUCUUUUGUGCAAUGGAAUGCGUUUUCUUGAUAUUUAUUGGUUACAUUAGACUAUAUGGGAUUGUAAAAAUCAUCUUGUAUCUAUAGGUUGCUUGCAAGGGAAGGUAUUAAUGCGGAGCAGCUUGCUAGGGAUCUCAAAUCUUUUGAAUUGAAGGUAAAAACUUCUUUGGUGAAAGAAAUUAACUCUGUGGUUGUGAGUGCAUAGUAGGAAAAGUUUUAAGAAUCACACUCUAUGUGGGUGUUUUUUAUUUUUUUAAAAAAAUUACUACACAAUUUAUGUUAGGCUUGUAAAAGAUACUCAAUGGAUUCAUUACUGAAAGGCUCGUGAAAGAUCUCAAUGUCAUUUGAAAUGCAAUGCUUGUGCACUCUAUCUUAUAGCACAAUUGGACCUUGUCUCACACAGAUUUCUUUCUGUUUAUUUAUUGUAGACAACUUUUGAAGAUGUCUUUCCUUCGGAGGCAACAACUGUUGAGGAGUAUCUGCAACAGGUAGUUAUCGGAAAAAUUGUUGUAUGAAGCAUGAGUACAAUUGCAUUACUGUUAAUUUUGUUAUCUUGAAUGCUUUGUUAUUGAUAAUUCUCAUUGGUUGGUGAUUAUGAUGAUUAGCUUUCAACUCUUUCUAUUGGUUAUUAGUUUUCUUGUUGGCGCCGAAAUUUCAAAUGUAUCAAGUGAGAUUUCAACUCAGGUUUGACUGAUAUAUUUGCUUGAAUUGAUAACAUUUCUACUGGUUACUGGUAUUAUUAUUAGAAAAUGGGUUUGCAUCACUUUGGACUUUGAAAAGUUGGUAUCCCUAUCUUGAUAGUGCUUCUAUUCUGAUAUAUGCCUUUUCGGUCAAAUGGAUUUUCUUGUUAUUUUAUUACAUCUAUAACUUGCAGUUUAUGUUGCCGCUGUCUGAAUAUAUAUUUCAGUAAGUACGUGAAGUUCACAUGUCUUUCCUGAGUAAUGUUUUUAUGUUAACUAUUUUUGCAGGUUCACGAGAUGGCUAUGAUCUCUGCUAUUCAAGAAGCUCAGAAAGACAACUUGCGAAGCUUUAAUGAUUACAUGAUGAAAGUGCUGGAGGUUUGCAUGCUUUUAUUGAUUCUUAAUGUAUUCACCUGUUAUAAUUGUGGUGGUAAUUAUUAUUUUCACAGAAACAAAAAGGCAAUAACUAUCAAGGACAUGAUAGCAUCUGUCCUUUGCCAAUUGUCAUAAGGGAUUGUCUGACAUAGUUCUGGCUGAAUAAUCACUGGGGACGUCAUUCACUGUAUUGCAUAUGAAGUGAUAGUGCAAUAUAGUUCUGGCUGAAUAUUCACUAGGCCUCCAUUUUACUUGCUAAGUUUAUUUUUGCUUUCUUCGUUUGUGAUGGCAGUCAUUAAAAUUGUGCAGAUUGUCACUAGUCUUGUUGUUCGGUAAAUUGUAGUUCUUAAUCAAAGUUUAGUUCCCCAAAGUUGAGGCGAAAAUUAUGGAUAUUUGAACUUUUGCUUUUCGGCAGAAGCAAGAACAAACCAAAGUCAAGACUAACCAAAGUCCGGAAAUGAUCAAGCUGCAUAUAUAGAGGAAAAGUGCUGACAAUCUCCUGAAAUCACUCCCUCCAUUGCUCUCCUUGAUUUUUAACAUAUGUGAAGGUCCUCUUUGUUAAUCUCUUUUGAACAUAUGGGAAGCUGAGAAGGCGAUACCAUAUGCAUGUAGGAGGUGUCAAUAAAUAAUAGAGAUCAAGUGUUCAUUGUGAUGAAGUGGAGCUAGGGUUAAUGGGAGGAUACAAGAGAAAGUGGAGUCCGAGGUUUUAUAUUCUUUGGGAUGAGGGGAGUGAGAAGACUACUACUUAAGCUCUUUAAAGUAGUAACACUCAGUUUUCUCAUGCUGACUAUCAUCUUUUGGCUUGUUAUGGGGUUUGCCUAUGUCUAGUUUGGGUAGUUUAGUGAAUGUUUUCAAGGAAACAAUUGAGGUUUGCCGUGUGACUCGCCAUCACAUACUGUGGCCAAUAUCCUGUGCUUGCAAUUUUGUUUGCACGAUUUGGUCUUUGUAUAACUGAUAUGUGAGAUUUAACAUCGUGAUGUACUAUUUUCUAUUCCUGAUAUAUCUAUAUCUGUUAUAGGAUGACUGGCAGAAAGAGAAGAGGGACUUUUUGCAGAGUUUAAGCCGGAUUUCUACAUUACCCAGGAAAAAUAGUAGUCUCUUGUCUAGCGGGCUUUCUCGCAUUGGUCAAGUACCAUCUCCAAUUUCCAGUCCUCAAGUUUCUACUGGCCCAUCUGUUAUGGAGAUUGUGCCCGCUGGUAACAAAUCUAUAAUUGAAAAGAAGACUUCAGUUUAUGCUGAGAUCGUAAAAAAUCUAAAUGAUGCUAGAGGGCGUGGGCUUCCAUUCAAAGUAAGUCUUCUAGUUUUUUAUUCAUGGAAAUAUGUAACUUCAUAUAUAUAUGACUAGUGAUGAGAUCCAGUGAAAUUAUCUGCUUACUAUCUGUGAACCGUUUCAGAGACCUCUGCUUAAGCUGUACUGUGAACUGCUUGUUGAUAACAAUAAAUUGGCCUCUCUCUUCCUACUUGUUUGGACCCUAGUUGCAAUUGUUGAUAUUUGUUUUGUGGUUAGCCUGCGACAGCUUUUAGGUCUGCUUACGAAAGCUUGAGCAUUGAUGCUGCUGGUGGAAGGUCUGUUACAAUGCAGAAAAUCUGGCACUUGAUUCAAGUAAGCAAUUAAGCAUAUGUUUUCCUUAUAUGUUUACAUUUAGGAUGAUCUAACUUGAUUUCACUAAUUUGGACAGUGCAAGUUCUUUAUAUAACUCACUGAAGGCAUGCUUGUUAGUUAUCUUUGUAUGUCUGCAUUGUAUUAUGUUAAACUUAAGUAAUUUGCUUAGCUUAUUAUCAAUACAGACAUUGGUUGGUGAGGAUUCUAAUCAGAGAAACGUUUCAAGAAAAAUGUCGUUGGUGAUAGGGGCUAGACGUCACCUUGAGUGGGGCCAUGAAAAGUAUCUUCUAGAAACCAUUCAGAGCCAUCCAGCACAGGUGAGUGUCAUUUUUAUGUAUUUGUUGUUUCCGUCAGCAGUCUCUGCUUCUGAAGAAGAUGUACGUUUUACUUCUUUGUCAUAACUGCCACUAAAAGAGUAAUAGUUGCUAAUUUUACAAUACUAGUUUCUGACAAGUUUGAUGUACACCAGUUAAUUCUUCUUNUACAGUGUGUCUUUUUCAAACUUUUCUUAUUGAUUAUAGUUCCCCCAAUGUACUCACCAUAUUCCCCCCCCUUAGAGUUCAUUAGCUCGUUGAUCUAGUCGUAAAUUAUUAAUACGUUAACUCUAUAUCAGCCAUAUUGUGUCUUUUUCAAACUUUUCUUAUUGAUUAUAGUUCCCCCAAUGUACUCACCAUAUUCCCCCCCCUUAGAGUUCAUUAGCUCGUUGAUCUAGUCGUAAAUUAUUAAUACGUUAACUCUAUAUCAGCCAUAUUGUGUCUUUUUCAAACUUUUCUUAUUGAUUAUAGUUCCCCCAAUGUACUCACCAUAUUCCCCCCCCUUAGAGUUCAUUAGCUCGUUGAUCUAGUCGUAAAUUAUUAAUACGUUAACUCUAUAUCAGCCAUAUUGUGUCUUUUUCAAACUUUUCUUAUUGAUUAUAGUUCCCCCAAUGUACUCACCAUAUUCCCCCCCCUUAGAGUUCAUUAGCUCGUUGAUCUAGUCGUAAAUUAUUAAUACGUUAACUCUAUAUCAGCCAUAUUGUGUCUUUUUCAAACUUUUCUUAUUGAUUAUAGUUCCCCCAAUGUACUCACCAUAUUCCCCCCCCUUAGAGUUCAUUAGCUCGUUGAUCUAGUCGUAAAUUAUUAAUACGUUAACUCUAUAUCAGCCAUAUUGUGUCUUUUUCAAACUUUUCUUAUUGAUUAUAGUUCCCCCAAUGUACUCACCAUAUUCCCCCCCCUUAGAGUUCAUUAGCUCGUUGAUCUAGUCGUAAAUUAUUAAUACGUUAACUCUAUAUCAGCCAUAUUGUGUCUUUUUCAAACUUUUCUUAUUGAUUAUAGUUCCCCCAAUGUACUCACCAUAUUCCCCCCCCUUAGAGUUCAUUAGCUCGUUGAUCUAGUCGUAAAUUAUUAAUACGUUAACUCUAUAUCAGCCAUAUUGUGUCUUUUUCAAACUUUUCUUAUUGAUUAUAGUUCCCCCAAUGUACUCACCAUAUUCCCCCCCCUUAGAGUUCAUUAGCUCGUUGAUCUAGUCGUAAAUUAUUAAUACGUUAACUCUAUAUCAGCCAUAUUGUGUCUUUUUCAAACUUUUCUUAUUGAUUAUAGUUCCCCCAAUGUACUCACCAUAUUCCCCCCCCUUAGAGUUCAUUAGCUCGUUGAUCUAGUCGUAAAUUAUUAAUACGUUAACUCUAUAUCAGCCAUAUUGUGUCUUUUUCAAACUUUUCUUAUUGAUUAUAGUUCCCCCAAUGUACUCACCAUAUUCCCCCCCCUUAGAGUUCAUUAGCUCGUUGAUCUAGUCGUAAAUUAUUAAUACGUUAACUCUAUAUCAGCCAUAUUGUGUCUUUUUCAAACUUUUCUUAUUGAUUAUAGUUCCCCCAAUGUACUCACCAUAUUCCCCCCCCUUAGAGUUCAUUAGCUCGUUGAUCUAGUCGUAAAUUAUUAAUACGUUAACUCUAUAUCAGCCAUAUUGUGUCUUUUUCAAACUUUUCUUAUUGAUUAUAGUUCCCCCAAUGUACUCACCAUAUUCCCCCCCCUUAGAGUUCAUUAGCUCGUUGAUCUAGUCGUAAAUUAUUAAUACGUUAACUCUAUAUCAGCCAUAUUGUGUCUUUUUCAAACUUUUCUUAUUGAUUAUAGUUCCCCCAAUGUACUCACCAUAUUCCCCCCCCUUAGAGUUCAUUAGCUCGUUGAUCUAGUCGUAAAUUAUUAAUACGUUAACUCUAUAUCAGCCAUAUUGUGUCUUUUUCAAACUUUUCUUAUUGAUUAUAGUUCCCCCAAUGUACUCACCAUAUUCCCCCCCCUUAGAGUUCAUUAGCUCGUUGAUCUAGUCGUAAAUUAUUAAUACGUUAACUCUAUAUCAGCCAUAUUGUGUCUUUUUCAAACUUUUCUUAUUGAUUAUAGUUCCCCCAAUGUACUCACCAUAUUCCCCCCCCUUAGAGUUCAUUAGCUCGUUGAUCUAGUCGUAAAUUAUUAAUACGUUAACUCUAUAUCAGCCAUAUUGUGUCUUUUUCAAACUUUUCUUAUUGAUUAUAGUUCCCCCAAUGUACUCACCAUAUUCCCCCCCCUUAGAGUUCAUUAGCUCGUUGAUCUAGUCGUAAAUUAUUAAUACGUUAACUCUAUAUCAGCCAUAUUGUGUCUUUUUCAAACUUUUCUUAUUGAUUAUAGUUCCCCCAAUGUACUCACCAUAUUCCCCCCCCUUAGAGUUCAUUAGCUCGUUGAUCUAGUCGUAAAUUAUUAAUACGUUAACUCUAUAUCAGCCAUAUUGUGUCUUUUUCAAACUUUUCUUAUUGAUUAUAGUUCCCCCAAUGUACUCACCAUAUUCCCCCCCCUUAGAGUUCAUUAGCUCGUUGAUCUAGUCGUAAAUUAUUAAUACGUUAACUCUAUAUCAGCCAUAUUGUGUCUUUUUCAAACUUUUCUUAUUGAUUAUAGUUCCCCCAAUGUACUCACCAUAUUCCCCCCCCUUAGAGUUCAUUAGCUCGUUGAUCUAGUCGUAAAUUAUUAAUACGUUAACUCUAUAUCAGCCAUAUUGCUUGUAUGGUGGGAAAUCUCUCUCUCUCUCUCUCUCUCUCUCUCUGCCUUUUGGCAACUCUACAUACAAAUGUUUUGUUGUUCUGGUUUGUUAUCUAGGCUGCUCUCGGUGGGGCUGUUGGCAAUCUGCAAAAAGUUCGGGCAUUUCUUCGGGUCUGUUGUAACCAACCUUGUUAUAUCUUUCAUUUUCAUGAUUUUGCAUUGUUCUUAUAUGCUCUAUUCUGAAGUUUCAACUCUUUGAGUAACACAUUUUUCUAUUUGUAAAAUGGUUAUUUUAUAGGUCCGUCUACGGGAUUAUGGUGUUUUAGAUUUUGAUGCGACUGAUGUGCGUAGGCAGCCUCCUGUUGACACAACUUGGCAACAGGUUUUGGCCUUUCUUCCUAUCAUUCCCAUGGUUUUGAGCUAGUGUGAACAUGCAAUUAAGCUUGAUUAUUCUUAAAUUCAAAUUUGUAUGUGCUUUUUUUAACUCUUCUUUCUUGCUUGCUUUAUAGUACUAUGCAUACUUUUCCUUCUACUUUAUAUUGUGUUUACAUACUUUUCUUGUGCUCUGUAGAUCUAUUUCUGCUUAAGAACUGGAUAUUAUGAUGAGGCAAGAAGUGUUGCUCAAUCAUCUCACGUUGCACAGCACUUCGCCCCUCAGGUACCUCAUUUUUCGUUGGUCUUUGCCGUUGUAAAUCUGGUCAUCUAACACUUCUUUGGCAGCUCGCAGAGUGGAUCUCGACCGGCGGUGCCGUCUCACCAGAGAUCGCUAUUUCCGCUUCAGAAGAAUGCGAGAAAAUGUUGAGAAUGGGCGAUCGAGCAGGUCGACCUGGUUAUGACAGGAAGAGGUUACUUCUUUAUGCUAUUAUUUCUGGUUGCCGCCGUCAAAUUGAUAGAUUACUUAGAGAUGUACCGGGACUCUUUACCACCAUAGAGGAUUUCUUGUGGUUCAAAUUGUCGGCAGUGCGCGACUGCCCAGCUGAUUCCUCUUCCGUCGUUCUCAGUGAAGGCUUGGUGCCAUACACUCUAGAUGAUCUCCAAAGCUACUUAAAUAAAUAUGAACCAUCAUAUUAUACGAAAAAUGGGAAGGAUCCCCUUGUUUAUCCCUAUGUGUUACUUUUGAGCAUUCAGUUACUUCCAGCAAUUCUCUACUUGUCUAAGGAAGUUGGAGAGGAAGGAUACAACAUCGAUGCUGUACAUAUUUCUAUUGUUUUAGCUGACCAUGGGGUCCUUUUGGAAGGUUCUGGAACUGGCCAGAAGAUGGGUAUUAUGGAUGCUUGUGCAGAAGUUGCCAGCAUUAUAAGGCAGUAUGGUUCCGUUUUCUUGAGGCAUGGCAAUCUUGAACUGACAUUGGAAUAUUAUGCACAAGCAGCUGCUGCAAUGGGUGGAGGGGAGAUAUCGUGGAUUGGGCGAGGAAAUGCUGAUCAGCAAAGGCAGCGGAGUUUGAUGUUGAGACAACUGUUGACCGAGAUAUUACUAAGGGAUGGUGGUAUUCCUCUUUUGCUUGGUCCAAGAGGUACGGGAGAUGAAGGGGAACUUAGAAAGUAUAUGAUGGAUUGGAGAAGUCGUGAGCAGUUCUUACUUGAAGCUGCCCAUCAAUGCCAAGAAGCCGGUCUCUACGAAAAGGUAAGCGUCUUCCACUAUACUUUUGAUCCUAAUGUUUUCCUAAAAACUUUUAACAGUUAGCUGUGGCAUGUACUUAGUGUUUGUCCUCUAUCUCAGGAGUAUGAAGGUAUGGUCUGCUUUUGCAAGGCCAUUUAUGUCAUUAAAUUAUUGGUAUACUGAAUAAUAUCUUACAAGAUAGUUAACUCUUGCAUGGUCAAAGAUAUUUUGUUAUCAAACUUGUCAUCGCUGAAUCGACAAUAUUUCUGGCUUCAUACUCGAAUCUUAGAUUUUGAAUUCUCUUGCUUAUGGAAUUUCUGUUUAUAUCUCUGUGACUCCUUAUAUCACUGUUCCUGCUCUGUACCUGCUACAUAGAAAUAUGUUCCUGAUUGGUCUUUAUUUUGGCAUUACCAAUAUACUGCUUCACAUAAAACUUUUACAGUCCAUAGAGAUAUAUAAAAGAGUUGGAGCUUUCGCAACGGCCUUAGAGACGAUAAACAAGUGUCUUUCCGAUGCAAUAUGUGCCAUGUCGCGUGGUAGGUUAGAUGGUGACAGCCGUGCUGCUGCUCUAAUUUAUUCUGGCAAUGAUGUUCUGGAGACAUUCAAAUAUUCUUCCGAAGCCAGGUGAUCCUUGGCUUGAACUAUUAACUUUUUCAAAUCUUGUCUGACUUGAUAGCUUUGGCAUGAUUGAUUAUCAGUUCUAUAGUAGACACUGCAUGCUUCAUUUUAUGCUGUGGUUGAUCAUGCAUUUCUUUCUAUUGUUAUGGUGAUGAAAUCUAGUAUUUGUACUUCCAGAACUAAUAUAUGCCAUGCUGUACAGUGAAGAGUUUAGAGAAGAGCUUGAGCAGUAGAAAUUUACGCUAGUGUUAGUUUGAUGCAUAGACUAGUGCUGAUGUUACCUGGCCUAUUCAAUUAUAUCAUUCAUUUUUUAUAAUAAUUUAGUAUUACACACUUUCAAAAAUAUUUUCUUUUCUGUAUCGUAAAUCAUCUUUCUAAGACGAUCUAGCAAAUUUAAACUUAGACUAAGCCAUUGUGAACUUUGGAUUAAACUUUUUUCGCUGUAGGCUUCAAGACAAGGAACUUAUUUCUGAACAGCAAACAGUAUUAAGGCAGCUCGAAGCUAUUCUAUUUGUCCAUAAGCUAGCUAGAGCAGGCCAAUAUGUGGAUGCUCUGAGGGAAAUCACAAAGCUCUCCUUCCUUCCAUUGAAUCCUCGAGCACCGGAUGUCACGGCUGAUGUCUUUAGGAACUUAUCACCUCAUGUUCAAGCAUGUGUGCCGGAUCUCCUCAAGAUUGCUCUUAGUUGCAUAGAUAAUGUUGCAGAUACUGAUGGAACUCUCCGUGCUUUGAAGUCUAAGGUAAGCCAUUUAUUAUUGCCUAAUGUUUUUUUUAUAUUGUGCCGACACACUCCGAACUACACAGUAGAUUAUUGAACCACUGCAGCCAAAAGCUUUUGGCUGCGUGCACACUGUUGGAUUGUGUUUAACCAGGAUAUUGGUCUGCCAAUUUGUCUCUUAAUUUCGAGUGGAGCUGUCUAAAGAGGUAAUAGCUUUUUCAUUAAAAUCUCCACAGCUUCUCACCGUACCAGAAGCUCCAAUUUAAAACUUACUCUUUUCUUAGAGCCAAAAAGCUUAUUUUAGCUUCCUACCUCUUAAAAGGUUCGGAAAUUUGUUAGCCGAACGGUUGCUUUCUCAUAACUUCUGCUUUCACGAAUAGAGCAGCUAGCAAACAAUUAACUGUGGGCUUUCCUUUUUUCGAGUUCUUACAGUUUUGCGCUUACUGCAGAUUGCAAAUUUUGUAGCGAACAACAUGACAAGGAAUUGGCCACAGGAUUUGUACGAAAAGAUCGCUCGAAGCAUAUAGAGGCUUGUGCCCUCUUCCUAAACCAAUGAAAAAGCUUCAUGAUAUGGGGUGAGUGAAUAAUUUGCAUGUGUCUGGCUCCCUUUUUAAUAGAAAUGCUAAUUAUGUUUUCUCCUCAACCUUGUCUGAGCAUACUAACUGAUUUGGACCAGAUAUUUAAUAUCAGAAACUGAGCCUGAAUGAUGGUUGCUGUUGUGACCAUUACCUUCAUUCUAGAUACUUGUUGGUGGAAAACUCGAGCAAUUCUCGUUGUGAGAAAUUUGGAGAGUUGGAACAUCAAAUCAGUAAUUUCUCUUGCCUGGGUUAUAGAGAGCAGAGACGGAGGAACGGGUGAGUAAAGAAAGUGAUUUCUUUGACCUCUUAGGAAGAUGUUAUUUUCAUCUUCUUUUCCACCCUUGUCUCUCAUGUUGUUUUCACCUCUCUUUGAAGGAACUUAGACUUCUUCUAGUACCUUAGACUUUGGUGGCUGUAUGAAAGGUAGCUGUGGUUUUCCGAAUUUUUCUUCUCUCUCUCUCUCUCUCUCUCUCUCUCUCUCUCUCUGUACGUGUGGGUGCGUGUCCGAUAUUUUAGCUCGUGUGCUUUCUAUCGAUAUUUUAUUUUCUUUGGGAACCUGCUCAUAUGAUUUUUAAAGGACAUGUUUAUACUAAAAUUCAAAACUGGUGGUGUGCGUACUGCGUCUCAAAUUUAGCCACCUUUAGACCUCAUGGUCUGCUCUAGGCUAUCUGGUGUCUGGAGUAUUAAAGGUACUAAUCAGGGAAAUAAAAAAAAAAUAUUUGAAAGUUCUAAGCUGUUUUUUUUUUUUUACGUUUUAUUUUAUUUUGUUGAGUAUGUUUCAACUAAGUCUGUAUAACAAGCCAAUCAUAUUUUUUUAUUUAAAAAAAUAUGUAAUAAAAAUAUUUUUUUAUUAAUCAAUUAUGAUGGGAUAUGUUAAUCAUGUCAGUAAUAUACUCUUGUGUAUUCUAAAUAUUUUUUUGAGCUAACGCUGCGCCAGCCAAUGCGUUGCUAGUAGGUCGCAUCAUUCGCCGAGACGUUGAUGUCACAAAGUGGCGAGGGCGACCCUUGCCCAAAAUUAAGUCCAACGACUUGCCGUGUGUAUUCUUUUUCUUUAGGUUUUUGUUGGUUAGGGUUGUAAGUUACGCGCGACUGCACGUGUCCUUCCCAUAAAGGACACAUCUUAUCUCCCCAACUAUUAUAAUAAGAAAGAAAGAGGUCCCACUGGACAUUCCUUAAAAUAGAAAAAUUUUAAAAUGCAACGGGUAUAAUGGUGACGCGGCGUAACAAAUCAAUCAAAUGUAUUCUAUUAGGAAUAUAUGUUUCAUCAUGGUUGUAAAAAAAUAUUUUUAUUGUACUUUUGUUUGAAAAAAAAAAAUGUGAUUGGCUUGUUAUUGAUGACGUGGUGUAAGUGUGACAGUGUAGAAUUCCUCCUCAAACUAGUGUGUAAUUUACGAAAAAUUUUAGAAUGUAAUGGGUAUAUUGGUGACGUGACGUAACAAACCAAUCAAAUAUAUUCUUUUAGGGGUAUAUGUUCCAUCAUAAUUGUAAAAAAAAAAUUUGCAGGGGUUGUCACAACUUCUUUGUAAUUUUAGCACACUGCUGGUGGUGGUGUGAAUAUUUUAAUUUUUAUCUCAAAUAUUUUUGUUUGCUUGUCAUAAUAUUAUUAUUAUUAUUAUUAUUAUUAUUAUUUAUUUGAAUUUUUGUGAAUGCUAUAACGGAGAGCGUAAGACUUAUACCCUUAAUUUGUGUGUACCAGUAAAAUUUUUCUUUAAAAAAAAUAAUAAGAAGAAAAGUGGGUUAAUAGUACACACCACAAAAAAAUAACACUUACAGGUAGGGUGCACGGAUAGCAGCUCUAAUAAUAAGAUGAUCAACGCUUGCUGCUCGCUCAUUUACUCUUUCAUCUCGCGGUUAUGUCACUUCGAUGAAAGAGGCAUUGGUCACAUUAUCAACAAUAAUAAAUCUAAUAAUAAUAAUAAUAAUAAUAAUAAUAAUAAUAAUAAUAUAAUGAGUUAAGCUAGAAUACUAUCGAUAGCAAAACCGGCUCCGUUGUCACCCAUUUGUUUUCGAUGAUGGAGCCUCCGAAUCGACGAUCGGCACCGUUAAACACGAUCUAUACCACUUGAAGUGUUUAGAAAUCAAUUUUCAUACAUUUUUAAUAUUAUUCUCUUAUCCCUCGAGUAGACAAAAAUUAACGGUUGAAAAUGAAUAUUCUUUAAAAAAUGAUGAUAGGAGUCUUGUAAUCAAGAUCAAGAGUAUAGAUCUUGUUUUAAAUAGUUUAAAAAAUUUUCUAACAAAAAUUCAAUUGAUUUGGAUAUCUUUACGCCGUUAAACGAGAAAACGCCUCAUAUCGACCAUUAAAAUUAUAAAUUUUGAAACCCUUUAAUCAUUAGGCAAAUGAUUUCGAAAAGAUUUGAAAUUUGAUUUCUAAACAUUUCAAGUGGUAUAGAUCAUGUUCAACGGUGCCGAUCGUCGAUUCGGAGACUCUAUCAUUGAAAACAAAUGGGUGGCAACGGAGCCUGUUUGCUAUUGAUAGUAUUUUAGCUCAACUCAUAAUAUAAUAUUAAAUUAUUAUUAUUAAUUUUUAUGAGAUUUACAAUUUUAGUUGGGCAUAGAGUUGAUUUGUUGCUAACUCCACGUCCGUGCGUAGCUAUUUGUCGAUAUGCAGAAGAUACCGUUUUCGCUCUCCUCCUCUUUCCCUCUUUUUUACGAGUAGAACUGCAAGAUAAAAGAGUCCAAAAUUUCUCCCUAGUUUUAGCCCUCCUGCCAGAAUAGUUGAUACGAGCAUCGUCUUUUAUAGUGUGAUUUCACACUGAUCUGAGGUUUAGUGUGCAUUUUGCUCUCACAAUCAGAAGGGAAGAAGAAUGUAUGUAUUUAUGUAUUAAUGUAUGUAUAUAUGCAUGCACGUACAUGUUUGUCAAUUUAUGUACUACUUGAGUUGGAUGACUACUCUGAAAACUACUAACAAUUUCUAAAAAGUCUUUCAACUACUUUUCAUACCAGCAGAAAAGCAGAAGCUGUAAAUUAAAUUUUAUCUAUCCGCUACUAAGCAUUAGCGUCAGUAUCUUACUUUAGAUUUUGCAGUUAUUGUGUCAAUUCUGGACUUCUCAUUUAUAAUUUUCUUUUGAAAAUCGGCUAAAAAAAUAAUCAAUCGUAUCUAGCAUAGUUGGUUAAGAAUUUAAUAGCUGGUAUUCGAGAUUCCAAAUUCGUAUGUACUGCAACUACCAACUUCCCAAAAAGAAAGCAAAAGGAGAUGGAAGGUCCGAGAACAACACCUAGUAUUAAAUCUCUUGAAUCAGUGAAGAAACCUCGCCACCUUUUCCUUUCAGAUCUACUGCUUAUUUUUCCCAUGCUAUUUAAUGCAACUGCAGCAAUAGAAUAAUAAUAACAUCUUCCUCAGAUUAAAAAAAAAAGGAAAAGACAAAAAGAAAGAACUUACAAAACAUUGAGCAGUUCCAAUGUCUCGUGGCUCUUCAACUCCUGCAAUAAAUAAGCAUUAAUUUACACCACUUUUAUCUCUUCAAACCCCCCUUUAAUUUCUCCUCACGUUAUUCUACAAUCUAUGACUCGUUUGACCCACCAACUAAUAAUCAUAAAUAACAAUAAUAAAUAAAUAAACCCAACCCUAUCCCCCCAUUUUUAUUAUUUAUUUAUUUAUGAAUAAUAAUAAUUAUUGCACCCAACCAGUGUGAGGAGCUUUCUUAUUCGCUGGGGAUACGGUUCCCCACUCCCUCGCUUUUACGUCUCAUAUGCGUUUUAAUCUUUUCUUUCUCGGAUAACGACCCAAUCCCCAACUCUCCUCCAUUUUUGCAUGUAUAACCCUCACAAAACAUAAAUUGUAUUUUAAAACUUUUUUUUUUAGAGAGAUAGAUAGCACGCUACCGCUUCGUUCAUUUCAUUUAGAAAUAAAUUUAGCUAGAAACGUGAAUCAACUAGGAUUCAAACUUAAGACCUCGGUAUCAACCACCAAGUGCUUAGCCACUUGCUCUAGAGACCGUCGGUAUUGUAUUUUAAAACUUACAUAUCUAUUCUCUUCAAUGUAAGUAGCAUAUUUGCACACGAGUUUUAUCAAUAUUUCAUCUUAUUUUGAUAUUAGAAGUCCAAAAAGAUGUCUAAAUGAUAAAAGGUUUACUCCUAGUUUUUGGACGUAUAAAUAAUAAUUUCUCGUACUUGCGAGAAAUGAGCAACCAUAUUUUAAUGCUUUAGAUGGUUUAUAUCUUUCAUCCUAAAAUUUAUAAAAAUUUAAAUAAAUUUUAGUUAAAAAUAUUGACAAGAGUCCAAUGCCAAGAUAAUCCUGAUUAAGUCACUAAUAUAAUAAAAAUAUCUUAUGUUUUAAUACUAAUAUUUUUUUAAAAAUUAAAUUUUAAAAGUAUAAGAUAAAAAUAAUACGCGACAACAAAUUGGACUUCUCAACGAGACGUGGUUGCAAAGCUCCUCAUUUCCAUUUACAGAGAUAUAUAAUGCUCAUGACACUCCUUUUGUAAGGUUCAGCACCCACCUCUCUCUCUCUCUCACUCUCUCUCUCUUUGUGUGUGUCUUCCUAUCACUAUGAAGCCCCAGACAAUGGAAACUUCUUCCGACUUCUCUCGCUUGGGCAUCGGAAAGAUGGGUUUUGGGUUUGUUUCUAAUUCUCUAAUCCUUCGCUCUUUAGUUUUAGCUUGGGCCGAGUUAUGUUCAAAAUAACGUGAGGACGGUUAAGUCGAAUCAUAGUCGAGCUCCGUUGGUGCUGUGCCAGUACACUUUAAGUGAAUUGAUUACGUAUUUCUGACGGCUUCAGUUUUAGAGAUUAAUGGUUAGCGUCGGAGAUCCCACAAGAUGAUGAUCAAAUCAAAGGAUUUGAAAUGCUAGGUUGUAAAAUCAAAAUCUUUGGAGUUUUGUGGCGGUGAUUAAAUCAAUGCUGUCGAUGGUGUUUCAGAUGCAAGCACUACAGGAGGAGGUGCAGGAUUCGAGCCCCCUGCUGCAACGAGAUCUUCCACUGCCGCCACUGCCACAACGAAUCUACUGUAAUCACCCCCUCCUCCUAUUUAUCUCUCUCUCUCUCUCACUCAUUUCGUCGAACACUUGAUUCGCUUAUCAUAAUUCAUUGCUUGUUUGGUCGGAUUCGAUGAUGCUCUUGGCCUAGAAAGAUCGGCACGAGCUUAAUCGCCAAGCUGUUCAGAGGGUGCGUUUUCUUAUUCGAAUAUUUGUUUGUGCGCUGUCACCUUUUUUUUCCUUUUUUUUUUUUCGUUUUUGUUGCUGUUGUGGGGGCAUUUGGAAUUGAAUCUGAAUGUGUUUUCUUUUGCAGGUAAUUUGUGUUAUUUGCGACACCGAGCAGCCGGUAAGUUUUGAUCUUAGUCGUGAUGAGAAGUGAUGAUAAUGUAGUUUUGAUAGCGACGCAGAGUUAUUUGUAGGUGGCGCAAGUGUGCGCAAAUUGCGGGGUCAAUAUGGGGGAGUACUUUUGCGAAGUGUGCAAAUUCUACGACGACGAUGUGAGGAUUGUUCUUUCUCUUUUCGUCUCGUAUUGCUUUCUUUUCUCUGGAAAAGUAUGUUUGUCUUGAAUUGUCAUCUUGUUUGAUUAUGAUGUUGUGUUUCGAUGUAGAUUGACAAAGGACAGUAUCACUGCAACGAUUGCGGCAUCUGCAGGUUAGGUUUCAGCUUGGUCCUCAACCAUUUAGUUGCUACAAUUUGGUCCCUAGCCUUUGCAUUCUGUUUUAAUCUCACCUCUUUCAAAACCGUCGUUUAGUUAAUUUGAUAUUGCAACUCAUUGGAAAAAGUGAAACUUUGCGAAUCUGAUAAUAUUUUGGAACCAAUCUGAAACUAUCCUAAUUGGCUGAGGACUCGGUGAUGCAGUUUACUUAUGUUCGAUUCUUUUUUCUCGAAGGAAUUUAUUAUCUCCAAUUAUAUUAAGAAAAUUACUGAUGUUGAGCUAAUUCCUUCUGUGAUAUCCUUAAACAGAGUUGGUGGCAAGGAGAGGUUCUACCACUGCGAGAAGUGUGGUAAGUAUUAUUUCAUUCUGAUGCUUGGGUUUAAUUUGAACGAGUAACCAACCAAGAAUAUAGUCAUAAGUUUGAGAAGUUUGAAUUUGGCGAAAUUUUCAACGAAGUCCAAAAGAAGUACAACAGCUAUAGAUACAUGUAUGUAAAGAAUACGUGAGAAGUAUUUUGGUACAGUUUUAAUUUUAUUCAAUUUAUUUAUGACCCAAAAUUGUGUGUUAGUGAAUAUCUUUAUAACUGUGUACCAGUGAAUAUUUUGGUGAAUUAGUCGGCCAACUAUAAGAUGUAAGUAUGGAUAGGAGAUGUUAGAUACUUACGAUGUUAUGAUUUUGCGCUUUUAUAUUAGAAGUCCAGCUUUCUUUACCAAGAUUGCUACAAACUGGUUUACCUUCAAGAGAGAAUUUGUUCUGUUGAUUAUAUACAGGAUCCUGCUACUCUGUUGGCUUGCGUGAUAAUCAUCCGUGCAUUGAAAACUCGAUGAGACACCACUGCCCCAUUUGUUAUGAGGUGUGUAGCAACUUCUUUUUAGAAUUUUUAAAAUUUAAGGAUUUCUUACUGCUAGAAUCUGUGAUGCAGUACCUGUUUGAUUCUUUGAAAGAAACAACAGUUCUCAGAUGCGGCCAUACGAUGCAUGCUGAAUGUCUUUACGAGAUGAUAAAGCAUGAGAAGUAAUUUCCUUGUUGCCUUUGAAUACUCUGUACCACACGUCUUUUAUAAAGUUCUGCUUCUUAAGAAAACAAACGAUGGUUUCUGUAAUGAUUUUUGGUUUUCACACCCAGGUUCUCUUGUCCUAUAUGCUCCAAGUCAGUUGUUGACAUGUCAAGGAUGUGGAGGACGUUGGAUGAGGAGGUACAAAAGACUUUUUUAAUUUGAUAUUGAUUUUUUAUCAAAUGGUGUUGCAUGAUUCGCUUUUGUUGUAGCAUUAAUCUUUUGGAGAUUUAUGACGACUAGUUGGCCCAUCGCUGCAUUUGCCCUUCUUUUCACUUUCUUGAAUAGUUCAUUUUAGGUAACUAGGUUGUUGGAAUGAACUUUGGCAUCGCACUCAGAAGCAAUUUAAACCCUUAAUUUAGCAUUCAAUGAUAGUUUACGCCAAACUAUGUUAGUGAUUUCUUAUACAUGUAAUCAUCCACUGUUUUAGCUUAAUUUUACCUUUUCCUGGUAGUUUGGAAAUGAACACAUUGGAUUUGCUCAGGGUCUUGCGAAUCUUUUCCUCAUCGUGGCACCUUCGAAAAUAAGAUAUUCUUUGAUUAUUUUACAGAUCUCUUAACAUUAAAAAUCAAGUUCUAAAAACUUCUACUAUGGUUUGCGUUUUAUUUUCUUGGUUUCUUGAAUGAUCUCUCUUUUUAGGCAAUUAAGUCUCUUUAAAGUCUUCCACAAUCUUAUAUACACUGCUGAUGUAUAUGUGGAUUUCUCUUCAUGUUUGAAGACUACCUCUCAUAUUGUUACAUUAGUUUAUGUACAUGGUUCAAACAUUGAACCAAAAGAUUCACUUUCUGCAGAUAGAAGCAACAAUAAUGCCAGAGAAUUAUCGCUACAAUAAGGUCUGUGAUUUUUCUCCUCUACUUUUUAGAUAUGGCACUUGUUGACUUGAAUUGGUAGAUAUAAUCAUCUAAAUAGUGUCUAUUCAGACUGGUUUUUGGAAUAGCUUCUCUUCACCGAGAAGCAGCAUCAAGGCAUAUUGCAAGCAUGGAGUUGGAAGCUUAUGGUGUGGCUGGAAGCUAAAAUGACUUCUAGGCCCCGAAAGCAGAAGCUUCUUUAAGCUUCUCAUGCAGCAGCUGGAAGCUACUAGGCAAUUUUGAAAUGAAUAACUGUUAGUCUUUUUAUGAACAACUCUAUUUAAACAACACUUACUGCAAAAGCUCUAGUCAGGCAAAUUAGGCCCUUAUUUGAGUGUGGCGAUGCCAUGUAGUGUAUGUAUCAAAUUGACAGAGUUCCUAAGUACCAGGCUAAUGACCAUGUUUUCAACCAUCCGUUUUGAUUCUUAUUUUUGUACAGAAAGAUUAGCUUUAGUUGAACACAACCAUCUUUUUCUUCUUUUUUUUUUGCAUUUCCUCUCACGCAACACUUAAAAAUAGUACCCCUUCAGCCUUGGCACACAACUGAAAGCCCUAACAGGAACUGAUCCAUCUGCAAGCUUCUGAUGAAGUCUAUAUAACACAAAAUUUUCUUUUCCGAGUGGUAUUAAUUAUUACAUUUAUUUGUUUACUACUUUGUAGGUGUGGAUCCUCUGCAACGAUUGCAACGACACAACUGAAGUAUUCUUCCACAUUAUCGGUCAAAAGUGUAGCCACUGCCAAUCCUACAACACUCGCGUGGUUCCUCCGCCGGUGCUCCCUCAUUAGAUGAAGUGUAGUCCAAAGAAUUAUGCAUUGAUGCUUGCUUUGGUGAAAGGACGAAAAGACGAAAAGGCGGAAACAAAGAAGAUGAGUGUGCUGAGAUAGCCGUUUGUUAUGUUAUACAAUAUUGCUCUCAUUUCAUAUAGCAGUGCAUUACUACAGUAUUUGAACUCUGUAUUGAAGUAUUUCUUGUACUACAGCUUAAUACGAUGAACUUGUGAAAUAAUGGCUCAUCAGUUGGUUCUCAGAGUUUUUGUAUCGUGUCUCGUCUCAAACUACAACAUUAUUUGUUCUCUGCAACCUCCCCAAUCCGAUCCGCACAAAAAAGGACAUGUGAUUUUUUUUUUUUUUUUAACUCCGAUACAGUAUGUCUAGUAACAGAGAGAGAUUAUUUCGCAGAUUAUGUUUAUAGAUAAUAAGAAAAUAAGUUGACAAAGCAUGCGUUGCAUAAGAUCACUUCAACAUUACUGAAGAACCAACUUACACAGUCAUUAUAGAAAGAUCACCAUCUCUGUAUAACCUCAUAACACUUCCAUUUAUUUAGAAGCAGGAUGAAUAUCCAAAUGGUAAGAUCACAACUUCUCAUUGAAUACUCGAUUCAUAGUAAACUAUUUCAGAGGCUUCUCUCUUCAGCAGGUUGAUGAUACUCAUGCCCUUGGAACAAUGUAACCUGAAUCAGGAAUAAAGAUACCACUAGUAUAAAUCAUGCUUAAUACAACAAACCAAACCAAACCAAACCAAUGCUAACUAAGUGAUGUUUAAUGAAACAACAUGGAUAUACAAAUAAGGUAACAUAUAUACCUCCGCAAUUCGUUCCCUUUGCAAUUGGCCGACCGCAUUUCUGCGCGACCGACACAAACUUUUUCAUGCUGAUGAUCCUCAGAUAGUAGGGGCUGAUGUCGCGGCAGAUGCAGGGCACAUCUAGUAUCAGAAGUGUAGUGCAGCACGAGUCCGGGGGAUCUGUUGGCUCGCCUUCCUUCUUUAUCCACGGCCUGCAGGAGCGCAAUAGCCUUCUCAGGUGCCCGUGACAUAUUUUCGACGACCUCACCUGCGGUUCCUCAUCCACAGACAAUUCGGCCGCCACGGCUCGGCAGCUGUGAAGAAACAAGACUGUAGCAGCUAUUGCCAGGGCCAAGAACAAGCACUUGGCAUUCACUCUUUCCAUAUUUGAUCUCUUGUUAGUACUUGAAAUUUUUGGACUUUUAAUUUGUACUCUUCUCUCUAGUGAUGUGUAUCUAUAUGUAUAUAUGUUUUGGUUCUGUGAUGUAUACAUAGCUAAGAUUUUUUUAAAAUUUUUUUGGCUAUUUUUAAAGGAUUUGUAUAUCUGGGAUUUGGCUUCAUUAAGUAGUAGUAAGGGAUUCCCACCCAAAGAGUAGAUAUGGUAAUCUGUGUGUGUGUGUGUGUGUGUGUGUGUUGUUUUUUUUUGGUGAACUGAUAUAUCACUUGGAUUGUGUGAAUCUCAUUUGACUAAAACAAGUUGGGGAAAAUGCAGGAAACACCCAGGAAUAUAUCAAGAAAAAUGAAACUAAGCAUAAAACUCUUCUUAAUUUUCAUAUAAGUUAUUAUUUAUCCUUUUUAAUAAGUUUAGUUAAAGAGUUACUCAAAUCUUUACAAGUUUAAUUAGUUAUUCUAUGUAAUUUAUGAAACUAUAAAAUCUAAACCAAAACUUUAUAUUCGAAGAGUCAUCAAAUUAGUCAAAUUAAAUAAAUUGAAAGGUUAGAUAAUAAAAUCAAAAUUUUGAAAUACUUAGUAGUCGAAUCAAAAUGGUUUAUAGUUCAAAUAAUUUUUAUAUAUUUUAACCUAUUUUAUAUGCAGCACGUCUUUAAAGUAACUACAAUAAGUUGAUUAUUGAAAGACGAGAGAAAAUAUAUAUAGAAACUAUUUUCCUCUUCUUACUAUAUAAGAUACCCAUGCUUUGGCUUUUGAAAUGAUAUUUAAGAGUUUUUUUAAAAUAUUUUAUGAAUGAUAAAAAAUUAAAAUUGGAGUAACGUGGUAACACCACUAAGAUUGAAGGGGAAUUUUUUAUAUUUAAUUUUCAAAAGUGCAAAAAAUCAGUAACACUAAUUUUUUUUAAAAUUGUUCAAUAACACUAUAUGCACUCCUAAAAAGUAGAUAAAAGUAAAAUGCAUGAUAAAAUAAUUAUUUUCUUUUAACAGUGUGUAAAAUCUAUAAUAUUGUAAUUAAAUGUUCACAUAGUUUUCCAAUCUACUCCUCCGAGUGGACACUGCAACACUCCUAAUUUAUUUAUUUAUUUAUUUUUGAGAGAAAGAUAGUAAGUUGCCGAUUUUUUUUUAUUAGAAAUAAAUUCAGCAUAAAAAUAUGAAGCACUUAGAUUUCAAAUUUAAAAUAUUAGAACUAAUCGUCAAAUUCUUAGCUAAAUAUGUUAGGUACACUAAGUAAUACUUCUAAUUUAAUGAAGAUAUACAUACACAAGUACAUAAGUUCAUGAAUAAUAAUAAUAAUACUAUAUAUACUGUAACUCCCCUACUAGUCUCACAUCGGAUGGUAUAUUGAUUCCGAUCAGUUUAUAUGAGGUAUCGCACGCUAGUAAUAAUAGCUGGACUUAAGCAUUUUGAGCCGGUUGUUUGGGUCUAACCAGUUAUUAUCGAUGGCAGGUUGGAUCGUUACAUUUGGUAUCAGAGUCGAAUAUUAGCCGGAAGUGUGAGAGCUAAAUGCUAUACGGGGUAAAGUGCUAUACUAACGGAUUUGGUGGGAGCCACCUCUUGAACCUGUAGGAGCCACCUCUAGAAUCUCACAUCGUCUGAUAAUUAUGGUCCUGAUCUAUUUAUCUGUCUGGGUUUAGACCUGACGAGGACGUCAGGGUCUAAACAGAAAGAGUUUGUAACGCCUCCCAAUAAUCCCACAUCGGGUGGGAUACUGAUGUAAAUGACAGAGGGAAGUGAAAAAUUGGAUUUUGUCGGAAAAGUUUUAUAUAAUUUAGCCAUAUACUUUUAUAUAAAAUUGAAAUGUAUUCAAAUGGAUUGAUAUUGACGGCUAUCUAGCGAUAUUAGAUUAAACUUUUUUUUUUAGAGAGAUAGGUACGUAGCACGCUACCCACUUCAUUUAUUUCAUUUAGAAAUAAACUUAGCUGGAAAUAUGAAUCAACUAGGAUUCGAACUUGGAACCUUAGAUACCAACUAGAUCUUUGUCACUUGCUUUAGGGAUUGUGGAUGAUAUUAGAUUAAACAUUCUAGAAAAAGAAAUAUGUAGUUAAAUAUUUCUCCGUAUUCUCAUUAAGACCGUACAACUUGUAUUGUAGUUGUAUUAUUAGAAAAAUAAAAUAUUUUUUUGUUGUACUUUUUCUCUGUACGUAAUGCUCCCUUUGUGUAAUUCCAAACUAAUUAAGGGAUAGAGAGAGAGAGAGAGAGAGAGAUGAUUUCGCCAAUCCAUUGUUCUAACGAAGAAGAUUAUAGAAACUUUAGGAAACCACCCAUACAUAUAUAUAAAGAUCAUCAAUCCCAAAAUAACAUCACAACUUCAUAAAAAGCAGGAAGGAAAAAACCAACAAUUAAGAUUACAACUGUUGAUUGAAUUUAUACUUUAAAAGCCACAGUAAAUUAUUCUGAAUUAUAAAAGGCCUCUCUCUCUCUCUCUCUCUGUGUGCCAACCAACUUGAUUGAUACUCAAAUCAUGGGAACCGUAUAACCUGAAACACAGGCAGUGAUAUCAUUAGUAAUACCAAAAAAAGAAACAACACUACUUUAAUUGUGUUUAGUAGAAGUUAUUGAGUAACUAAUCUUACUUCCGCAUUUGGUUUUGCUUCGAAUAGGCUUUGCGCACUUCGCCGCGACGUACGCGAGCUUCGCCAUAUCGAUCUUCUUCUCGAAGCGCGGGGGGAUACUUUGGCAGAUGCACAGCAUAUCUAUCGUCUGAAUGGUGCGGCAGCAAGGGGCUGCAGGAUCGACAUGCUGAUCCGUGCCCUUCUUUAUGCACUUCUUGCAACUGGACGCAAGGUUUUUCAGAUCUCCUUUGCAAAGCAUCGACUUCUCCGGAUCAUCAUACGACGACGAUAACUCCGCUGCAGCAGCAGCAGCAGCAGCAGCUCGGUGACUGUGAAGCUGCAAGACUGAAACGACUAAUGCCAAUGCCAAGAACAAGCACUCAAUCUUCACUUUUCUCAUCUUCACACUUAUUUCUACUUUUUUAAAGAAAACAAUGGACCUUGUUGUUAGUGAUUUUUUGUGUGUGUGUGUAUUUGGAUGUGUGAUAUGAAUGAGGAGGAGUUUUAUGUGUAUUUAUAGGUGUUAUUGGCGGCAAAGAGGGAAAUAUAUAUCUGGGAAUUGUAACUGUAUCUGAGAUUUGGCCUCAUUGAAUGAAGUGGAGGAGAGAAUAUAUAGUAGAGCAAAGGAUAUUUGCCCAAGGAGCUGUCGCCAAAUGGUGGAAAAAAUAGAUUUGUGCAAAUGAAGCGUGGAUUGUGUGAAUCUCAUUCAAUUAAAAUCGCAUAUUUUUUUUGCCUUAAGAAUUAAUAUUAUAUAUAUUUCUGAGCGUAAAUGAAAGUAGAAUUAAUACGAUUGAACAAUAAACUAUAUUAUCAAGAGAUCAUUUAAACAACUUAAUUAAUUAUAGAAUGAUAUAUGUAAACCCCAAACAUAGUAACUACGUACUCUCAUAUAUUCUUAAAAAUGGGUUGGACAUAGCAUUUUUCUUUAUUUAGUGAACGUGUGGAGAAUAUAAGUUCAUGAAGGAGUUUGUUUUAGAUGUGGAAACAGAUUAUUUGGUGAUAGCUUGUAUUGUAUGUGGUUAAUUUUGUAUUAGUCAACACGACAUAAAGAUUGGAAAUAAUCUGCUCUCCAAGGAGCUGAUUGGAGCCAUGAUUAAUCACUGCAUUAAAAUUAAAAUUUAGAGCUUUGGAUUUGAGACUACAAAUUAGCCAAUCUCUACCUUAUUCACAAACAAAUUUUGGACUACAAUCAGGGGAAAAAAUAAAAGCAACUUUUCUUUUUCAAUCUGGGUGCUAGGAUUGAGUAUGGAUCUCUCCGAAGUGAUCACAAGUGGAUAAACUAGUGAUUUAUCAACAUAUAUGACUUGUUCUUACGAAUUAUAUCGACCAUCUAAUAAAAACCUUCAUAUGUUAAGUGAAUUGAGCUUAGUCAAGAGAAUUUUGACCCACUAGUAGUAGGGUCAGAUUUAACUUGUUCUUACAUAUUUUGAGGGGUUUGCAUGCUAUUUUGCAUUAUGUUUCUUAAUAUUAUCUCCAAAAACUUUCUUUUUUUUUUGAUUUUUUUGAUUAAACAGGGAUAUAUCGUAUUUGAAAGCAUAAAUAGGUACAUAGGCGAGAUUACACGGGUCCAAAAACUUUUGUAAUCACAUUUUCUUUUCUUUUUUUUAUUUUUGGCAUAGAUGCCCCUUCGAAAUUCAAAUGCGUGUGUUCACGUGUACACCUCGAAUUUGCAUCUACUAAUUAGCCUAUACAAGACAUAUAUACUUUUAUAUAAAACUAAAAUGUAUGUAUUCAAAUGGAUUGAUAUUGACGGCGAUCUAAGAUAUUGGGUUAAAUAGAGUUGGAAAAGAAAUAUAUAGUUAAAUACUUUUCCGUUAUAUUCCAUGCAAGAGGACCGUACAAAUUGCAUCGUAAUUAUAUUAUCCUGCAAUAGAAUACCUUUUAUCGUACGUAAUGCAGAUCCUCUUAUAAUUCCAAUCUAAUUAAGGAAGAGGGAGAAAGAGAUAGAGAGAGAUGAUUUUGCCAUCCAUUAAUUGCUCUAAUUAAGAAGAAUAUAGAAAGUUUAGGAAACCACCCACACAUACAUAUAUAAAGAUCACUUAUAAUCCCAAAGUAACAGCACAACUUCAUGAUAAAACAACUUCAUGAAAAGCAUUUAGGAAAAACUAACAAUUAAGAUUACAACUGUUGAUUGAAUUAGUACUUUCUAAGCCAUAGUAAAUUAUUUCUGAACUAAGGCCUAUCUCUCUCUCAGCCAAUUCUUGAUUGAUGCUCAAAUCAUCGGAACCGUAUAACCUGAAACACAGGCAAUAUUGAUAUCAUUAGUAAAACCACAAAAAAAUAAAAACAACAAACUAUGCUAAGUAAUGGUGUUUAGUAGAAGAAAAUGAGUAGCUAGCUAGGCUUACUUCCGCAUUUAGUUCCGCUUGGAAUCGGCUUUUCGCACUUCUCCGCGAUGUACACGACUUUCUCCAUAUCGAUCUUCUUCUCGAAGCGCGGGGGGAUACUUUGGCAAAUACACAGCAAAUCUAUCUUCUUAACGGUGCGACAGCACGCGGGCUUGGGAUCGACCUGGUCUGUGCCCUUCUUUAUGCACUUCUUGCAACUGGACAACAGUUUCUUCAAAUCUCCGUUGCAAACCACCUCCUUCGCCAGUUCCUCGUCGUCCGAUAACUCCGCUGCAGCAGCAGCAGCUUGGUGACUGUGCAGCAGCAAGAAUGUAACAACAAUUGCCAAGGCCAAGAACAGGCACUGAAUCCUCAUUUUUCCCAUAUCCACUUGUUAAUUAGUGCUUGAAAUUUUUUUCUUUUUGGAAACUUGGUAUGAGUGAUUUCUUUGUUUUCUCCCUUUUUGUUUGUUUGGUUUGUGUGAUGUGAAUGAGGAGUUCUAUAUAUGGGUAUUUAUAGGUGUUAUUAGUGGCAUAGAGGAAAAUAUCUGCAUGGGAAGUAUAACUGUAUCUGAGAUUCGGCCUCAUUGAAUGAGGUGGAGGAGAGUAGUAGAGGAUGGAGACAAAAGCCAAGGAUUUUUGCCCAUGGAGCUGUUGCCAAAUGGUGUAAAAAAUAGAUAUGUGAAAAUGAAGCUUGGAUUGUGUGAAUCUCAUUCAAUUAAAACCGCAUCUUUUUUAAUUUCUAACUUAAGAAUUAAUAUUAUAUAUAUUUUUUAGAGAGUAAAUGAAAGUAGAAUUAAUACGACUGAUAAACCAUAUUAUCAAGAGAUGAUUUAUAUAACUUACAUAAUGGUGUGCAUGUAACGCUCAAAAAUAGUAACUACUCUCAUAUAUUCUUAAAAAUGGGCUGGACAUAGCAUUAUUCUUUAUUUAGCGAGCUUGUCAAGAAUAUAAGUUCAUGAAGGAGUUUGUUUUAGAUGUUGAAACAGAUUAUUUGGCGAUAGCUUCUGUUGUAUGUGGUUAAUUUUGUAUUAGUCAAUAUGAAAUAAAAGUCGAGAAAUUCUGAACAAUGAUUAAUUAGGAAUGUCAAUCGAUAUGGAUAUUCGAAAUAUUAUUCGAAUCCGAAACCGAAAUAUUAUUUACCAAUCCCGAACGCGAACCUGAUCCGAACCCGAACCCAAACCCGAAUAAAUUAUAUAUAUACAUAAUUUAUUUUUAUUUAUCUAUAUAAUAUAUAAAAUUUUUAAUAAUUUUUAUUUCUUAGAUUUUCAUUCAACGGUAUGAAUUUUUAAAACCCGCCGGAUUCAAGUACCGAUACAGGUUUUAAUUUGGUUUUCGGGUUCGGAUUCGAAUUUUUAAAAAUCCGACCCAAUGCAGACCCAGUUGACAUUGUUAGUUCAAGAAGCCGCCAAAGCCUGGUCCCAAAAUUGGAGCCCAACCAGGCAAAGGCCCACGAUCCAUCUAUCUAACUUCUCCUGUCACAAUGCUACAGGAAAUUUAAAGAAGAAAAGGCAAACAAAAUGUGGCAUGGCAUGCAUGAAGAGAGAGUCAAAGCUGUUUCUAGCGUAAGUGACAAAAAGUUUAAUAGUUAGUAUCUACAUUAGCGUAGGCAACUACUGCUUAUUUCUGAAAUCUCCUUCAACUUAGAACUAUUUUUGUUUAAUUGAUUUUAAUCAACUAACAUAGAAAUCUUUUUAAAUCCAACAGUAAUCAAUCUAAAUUUAAUAAAUUAAUUAUUUUUAUCAAAUUAACAAAAAUAGAAUCGAGUUUAGUUUUCAAAGGCAUCAGAGGUCUCGAGAGGAAUUGAAGCUUUUAUAAAAGUUGGUGUACAACGCAAGAUAAGCCCAGAUUUUAAAAAAAAAGAUCCGAAGUUCAGAAAAAGCGAAAAAAAAAAAUCCGAAGUUAGGGUGCCAAAACAUGAACUACUGAAUUCUCCCUCUAUACAAAAUGAAAGGUAUUCUUUACAUGCAAAUGACCAAAACACAUGUUCUUCCAUCUGAUGCAAAACCAUCAGAAGUAUUAAGAUAAAACAUGCCCCGAUUAGUCGGGGCCGUCGCAGGAGACCACUUAACAAUCUCAACUACUGUAGCAUAAUGCACUGUCCAGAUCGGAGUCAACCAGAAUCAUGUUUCGGCGUUAUUUAUAACUGCAAUAGGAAUCCAAGUGUCAUGCCGACAAGUGCCAUGAAUAUUGCAAACGAUAAAGGAAAGCCGACUUGAGCCCGUGCUGCACACUUCCUUUUCAGAAAUACCUGAACGAAUUGGGGAUGGUAUAAGAGACCAAGAGUAUAAAACAAGAGAAAAAGAAUGAACUGGAAGUAAGAAGAACGUAAAUUGUAAGACAUUUUUAAGUAAAUACUAUGUCUACAAUCAAUCAUAUUGUGGAUCAGAGGCUGAUUGACAAGACUGGCUUUCAUGUCUUUUUCUUGUGUGUGUGUGUGUGCGCGCACGCGCACGCGCUCGGGGUGAUUCAGCAAUGUCCUCUUUUAGUCUUCUCAUUGUUUGUUUAGGACCCAUUGCUGCAAAGCAUCAUACCUUGACAUCCUUAUACUUUGACCAGAGUUCCUUUUAUACCAUGUUUCACUCUUAACCAUAGGAAGGUGACACUCUUUAACUUUUUAACACUACAUAGAAUAACUCACCAUAUCUCGUUGCAACUUAUCCCUCUCCUGAAUGGUUGAUUUGUUCUCUUCCCUCAGCCUAAAGAUCAUCUGCUCAGCCUGCAAAGAUGGGCAAGUACCUUAGAUUGUGCAGAUCUUGUUUCAAGAUGUCUUCUCUGAAGUGAUCACAAGGAGAUAAAAGGAGAAAUAAUUGGGUAAAAAUAAUCAACUAAGCAGUUGAAUAGCUUUGUUAAUUGCUUAGAUGCCCCGCCCAUGCAUAUCUCACAUUACCUGCUCUAACUGAUGACAUAUAUGUAUUAUUCCUAAGCAUGAAUCCUUACUAAAAGUAACUAAACCACGAUAUUUACCAGAUUUCAAGGUUGGCAACAAGGAAUAAUACUACCUAUUUAAUAUCAAGGCCGUUGUUGCAUUAGAACAAAAAAGAAAACAUAAACCGCCGCUUGAUCAACUGACCUCAUCUAGCUUUGAUUCAAGAUUGUUAAGCUUUGCCUUCAUAUUCUGAACAUCUUCUGUAACCUGCAAAGGAAAACAGCAAGUUGAAGAGAUAAGCAAAAGAACCACAUUUAUAAUUUGUUCAAACUGAAUCUUUACCACAAAUGGAUUUUCAGCUUGAAUUCAUGCAAUCAAGCACAACAAUUACCUUCAUACUAAUUUAACAGAAUUGAGGUAACAUGCAAUUAUCACGCUGAAAUGAAGCUUGAAUUUUUCCCAUAUAAAGAGAACAAAAGAAUGAGAAAAACAAAGAGAAGAGAUCUUACAUGUGACAGGUGAAAGUUCUCAACUUUGCUCAAUGCUUUAUCAGUUGAAACAGAAGUUUCUUUCGAAACAGGACUCUCCUUCAAAACAACAGAACUUUGUUUUAAAACAGUAGGAAUUUCUUCUGGAAUAAUUGGAGUUUCUCUAGUUUGAGUUUCUUGAGUUUCUAUAGCUGGAGUUUCUUUCACAACAGGAGUUUCUUUCAAUACAGGAACUUCAAAAGCUGGCUCCUGAUUCAAAGCUCCAUUAAUAGGUUGUAAUACUGGAGAGUGUGGUGGGCUAAUAAGGACAACCCUCAAUUUACUCUCUUCAAUAUAUCUGCCAGUUUCUUUGGAGAACUGCAAAAUGAAAACCAGUGAGAUUCAUAAGAGGGAAGAGAAAGGAAAAAGAAACGAUUUGAAACAAUGAUCUAUGCACUUACGAAAGCAGGUACAAUGUCCUCAUCUUUACUACCGUAUGGGACAACAGUGCACUGAACCAGGAACUUAUCUUUCAACUGCAUAUCAGGUGGAGCUGUCCGCUGCGCUUGCAUAGUAACUAGAUUGAAAUGAAUGAACAAAUUAUGAACAAGCAAUGAAGCAACCAUGAAGAAGGAGGUCCAUUCUGCUUGAAUAAUAACUUGAGAGAGUUAACAAGAGAAAGCACAACAAAUAUGGUAACGUUCCCAGAGAAAGAAAUAAAUUAUAAGUUUAUUUUGAGGGCAACAAUGAGAGCUGACAGUAAUGCGAGGAAUUAUUUACUGGCAUUAACUACUCAAUAAGAAAUUUGGAACAGACGCUUCGUGAACCGUAUGACAUAAUCUUCUUUUGUUUUCUUCCUCCGAUGGCAAACACAUUUUUGUUGUUUAAUCAUUUUUCUAGUUCAACUCCUCAUCAUUGCACCAUAGAUACAAAUCAUUUUUGAGGGUUUAUGUAACACUAGAUACCUUUCACCCAAAACAAAACAAAAGAAUGAUAGAGACUUUUUUGGUGCCUCAUAGUUUUUUGUACUGCAGUGCAAGAAGUCCAGUCAAACCAGUUAAAAUAUAAAUUAGAAUGAGGUAAGAACCGCAUGGAUUAACUACGAGGGUCAUGGAAGACAAAGUCAAAAAUAAGAUAUCUUAAAGCUACAAGAUUAUAUGAUCAGCACAACAUAAAGUAGCUAUCAUAUUAUCUGAAUGUAUUGAGAGUAAAUGGGACAUCUCCAACUGAUCAAGAUGCCUUCCAAUUAGCAAGAAGUUUCAGCUUCUUUAACAGGAGUCUCCAGUUAAAGUACAAGAGUGAAAACAGUAAUACAAGUAGAUUCUACCUGUAAAAUCACAUGUCGACCUCGGAAAUAUGAUCCCUGUAUUUGGCCGCACGCAAUACCUCUUGGGAGAUGUAGUUUUAACCUGGACAAUGUAAGAUUAAUUAGAUCCCGAAUUCACGAUGCUACAAGCAAAAUACAAAAUUGCACUAUAUGAUUGUGAUGAUAAAAAUUAUUGAUGAACAUUGCAUAGACUAAAUUCAAUCAUAAGCCAAUGCUAAUAAGACAGUAAUUUUUAAUGCGAAGAGAAAGACAACAGAAACUAUAAGAAACAUGAUGAUUGAGCAAUUACAGCUGAAAGAAAAUCAGGAAGAGUGGUAAAUUAGAACUUCAGAUUUUGAAAUACAAAAAUUGAGAAGUUUGCAAUAAUCAUAAGGUUUUACAAGGGACGGCUCAAACUACAAAACAAAACAUAUAACAUAUGGACUUCUGCAGGUCCUUCCAGUUGUAUGUUCUAAAAUGUAAAUGUGAAGAGAAGGCAAAGAGAGAGAAACAUGAACCUUGAAUGCAACAUAUUCAUUGGAUUUAUUAGAAAGCUGGAUAGAACACGAACUUUGCUUCUUCAAUUCAACUAGCAACAAAAAAAGCACUAUUUUUGUCAGUCAUAAAUCAAGUUAUAAAAUGGACACCGAAUCCUGAUUCCUUGAAUAGAAAAAAGAUUCGGAAGAAAAGCACAUUAAGAUAAAAUGUUCAUGAUCUCUGGAUUCUCGGCUGAUACAACAAGUAAAUAAGCAUACGACCUGAGAGGAUAGCAGAAAAAAAUUAGCACCAAGUGAACAGCACUUCCGUAAUAUUGGCUAAACCACUUGACAUAGUAUCCAUGGGUGAGUAAAAAGCUAUUAAUAAAGCAAGAUUUUUAACAAGUGCAAGCUUCUGCAGCAUAUCCAUUACCGCUAACAAAAGUCUCAAAAUUUCCUAAAUUGAGUUAAAAAGGACUCUUCCCCUGUUUUCCAUAUCUAGAAUGUGGAACGGAUACUGAUUAUAAUUUGUCAGCAUGAAAUACUGAUACGCAAAGUUAUGGGAUAGGUAUCAGAGUCAACUGGAUACGAAAGCAUCAGAGUGUCUUCCUCAAGCAAGCAAAGAGCAACUCAUUCUUGCCCAUGCUUACCCUUUUAGCUCGCUGCACACUUUUAUUCUUUUCUGACAAAAUCUAUUUCCAUUUUGAAUGCACUUCCUUUGCUACUCUCUUUUUUUUCCCAUUCAAAUACAUGCUUCAAUAUUAUAAACGUAUAUAUCUUACUUGCAACAUUUAUUACGACUGUUUAAUUGCUAUUCGCGACCAGCAUGUGUCAAGACAGUUUGACCUCUCCAAAUGGAAAACCAAAGCAAGUAGACCAAGGACGCCCAAGCAAAGAGAAAAAUAACGAAAAAUUAUAUAGUUGCUCUGAUUUCAAAACUCUGACCCACAGAAUAUGAAUGGUUAAGGAAACAAAGAGAUGUUACAAUUGCAACAAAGAAAACGCUUUUUGUUAAGCAAUUGGUGAAAAAUAUUACAACUUUUUGAUGUAGGAUAUAUGAUACUUGGAUGGAAGUUUUAAAUGAGUAGUCGAAAGAUAAAGAGUACAGCUCUUUCUUCACCACUAAUGGAUUUCUUCUUUCUCCAACGUAAUAUGUAAACGUCGUCAAAAUCGGCUGUAUAUUUCCAAAAAGGCACAAUUUAUCAUUUACUAAUACAAUCCUUAAUAUGUCCAAAUUCCUCUCCCAAUCACCCCUCUGAUACAGAAGAACAAUAAAUCUUACAAAAAAAAUUUAAACAGUUGUAACAAAUCAUCAAUAUAUCAAUCCUAAAGCAUUUACUUUAACAAAUUUUACUCCUAAUAUUCAAUCAACUCACACUACGCAAAUUGCAAAGUGAUUCGAGAACAAUCCUACAAAAUUAACCCAACUAUAUACCAUUAUCACCAUAAAUUCCCAAAACCAAAUCAAAUAACAACAACAGCCUAACACCACAAGAAUCAGCUCCACUCCUCAAUCCCCAAUCCCCCCCCGAAGCGUUCGCUCACAUAAAACACAACUAAAUCACCGAUCGCUAUUAAAAAAAAAACACAGAAUCUCGCACCAACUUACAAGUAAACUUGAGUUCCCGAGGUUGGAUCUCCACGAGAUCUUGCCCCAUCUCUACGCUCGACAAACACCUCGUUUGAUCCCGAUCCAGAGGCCAGCAGAAACGGAAGUGAACGUCUCUUGACUAGUAAGCGAAGGGGAUCGAUCACGACCUCCCGGCCAUGGAAAUGUCUACCCUAAAUAGUGCUCGAGAUGGGGAGAGGAGGAGGAAGGAGACGAAGAGGAAGGAGACGAAAAUGGCGAAAGGGGUGAGAAUCCCCCAAAUUGGAACUGAAUUUGAGAGAAACGAUGAUGCUUCCGACACUUUUAUUGCUCUCGGAAAUUAGAGAGGAUGGGGGGGCGGGAUCGAAGUGAAUUUUACUGCACGACUUGCCGUUACGGCGUUACCACAGUAAAACAGGAUCCGGAGAUUUGGCGCUUCGGUGAAACACGGUAGAAAUCAAAUGAAUAUUCGACACGUGUAAUGAAGGUGGGACCCACAUCUGGGUUUUGAAUUUUCGUUCGGUGAGAAAGAUCGGACGGUAGGGAGAGGCCGGGCACCGGAUGGUCCGUUUCUUUACUAUUACGUUAGUUUUCGUGUUUUUUUUUAACACCGUAAUUUUGUUUUGUCACAGAAAUUUUAGCUUAAAUUUAAAUUUUUUAAUUUGAAUUGGGCGGUGGGAAAAUUACUUGUGUCGUAGGGACUGGUGGAGGCGGUUGCACCAGUCGCCUGUUCCGGACGAGAAGCGACCGGUGACCGGCACGUGUCCUUUUCGUCCCCGUCAAAUGACGAUUUUGCCCUCCGUGAUUCGGGAUACGUACCGUCAUUUGAAGGGUAAAACGGUAAUAGCAGCGAUAUAUGGGUUUGGUGAGCACGUCGUUGUAGGUUGCUCCAUCGUCGUAUGUAGGAAUUGAAGUGUGGUGGUUGGGGGUUUAGACGACCAGAGAGAGAGAGAGAGAGAGAGAGAGAGAGAGGUUGUUUUCUUACGGGUGAGAAAGAGAGAGAGAGAGAGAGAGAGAGAGGUUGUUUUCUUACGGGUGAGAAAGAUUUCAAUGAUGUGGACUACAAAAAUUGACGUGUGGACUACAAUAUGUGGAUUGGAAAAAUAUUAAGCUCCAGCACCGGUUGUGGAAAAAUUGCUAUAACCUUAGAUACCGUUUGGUUCGGAUAUAAGUAAGAACUAAUUAUUACAGGUAUAGGUACAAGUAUGGGGAUAAAAAAAAUAGUAUUUGGAUGAAAAUUAGGUUGUUCCCGGGAAUAAGAACAAUUUUAGAUAAUUUUAUAUAAAAAAUGAAAAUGUUGGUAGGGAUAACCGAGAAUUACUAUUCUCAAGUAAAAAAAUUAGUGUUUGGAUAUAAAAAGGGGGAUAAGGGCCUAUUCCUAUCCCUAUCCCCUAACCAAACGCUGCCUUAGUCUUUCACACUCACUCAUCAUCGCUUACUCUAGUUGAUUAUUAUUUAUUAAGAAUUUAUAUUUAACUUCACUUUUGAAACAUAGAAUCAGAAAUAACAAUUUAAUAGAGAACAUCCUUGAUAUAUACAAAACUGUUUUAUUUGCUGUUCAUGACAGUAGCUUCAGAAUUAUAUGAACAAUGAAUGAAAUGCUUUCACGUCAAGAAUCAUCUCUGUAGCUAGAUGGAGAGAUUUCACGACCUGUAUUUAUAAGUCUCUGUAGCCUGCAAUUAUAGAAAAAUAAACAAAUAAUUAAAAAUAACAACAUAUUCCUCCAUUUAACCAACUUAUUGCAAACUCAAAAAUUGAACAUACUAGUGGCAACCACAAAAAAAAAGAAAAUGCACCUAAAGUAUUGUUUAAUUAAGUAUUAAUUUGGCACAAAUUUAGAAAACACUAAAUUGAAAUCCUUUUAACAACUUUUUCAGGUCUGCAGUGAGGUUCGAAAUUCAGAAGUUAAGCUUCUUUUUCAAUCUAAUAAAUAUCAUUUUUUUUUUCCCUCCGAGGCUCUAACUGCUUUGUCUCUGUAGCUUAGUUUAUCAAUUCAAUAAAUGAAGUGGGUAGCGUGCUACCUUUUUUCUUAAAAAAAAAUUAAAUAUCAUAUUUUUUUUAUUUUUUACUGAGCAAAUUUUUGGCAUUUUUUAUUACCAAGUUUAGUGUUAAAAAGACUGCAGGUAGGAGCAAAAGCAAAGGUUUUUUUUGGGAACUAAACAUGUUUUUUAUUUUUUUCUUAUUUUGUAUGUGACCAGGAAGUAGUAAAAUUCUACAUAUUGUCUUGUAGGGGAUCUACUAACUAUUGCUGAUGAAGCCAAAAGCGCCUCUGUGGUUGGAUAAUUCUGGUUGCGGAGGAGAAUCGGCCAAUUAGGCAGUUUAAUUAAGCGAGUGGUUGGAACUUUAAUUUGAUUUGGAUUAGCUUAACCCAAGUCAACAACAAAGGAUUUUGAUCAACUACAACAUAUAGUACUUAAUUUCUUUUUGGAUUUAGUUGUCUUAUAACUGGGACCAAGCUGAAACAUUUGUUUAUUUUGUUUAAAAAUUAAGCAGUUAAUUGAAUAGCAGUAGUAGGAUUCUGCAGUUUGUGUGCAAAUUUUCUAACUAUAAUAUUUUAUUUCAGAAGCAAAACAAAUUAAAUCAUGGAUAAUGGCCCAAAAUUUAUCUCCUUGGUGCUUGUAAAGUCACUUUAUCUUUCGAUGCUUGCACAUUUUUUGACCACCAGAUUUUUCUGGUAGUUCAUAAAGAAUAUUUUAUGAUACACGUAUAUACACUUAUGAUGUGCACGCAUUAAGGUGCCUACUCAAAAAACUUUCUCCGUGGAUCUCAAAUUGUUCUUAGAUUGAUUCCAACACACAAAUAUGAUGUUUUAAAAGGAGAGAAACAAAGACUUCGCACUUUUAGAAGCAUCUUUUGUGAGUGUUAUCAUGGAUAUUGUAUUCUAAUUAUGAAAAGCAAAGAAAAGACACUUAAUUACAGUUAAGAUAAAAGCUCAGCUGUAAUGUAAAGCUGUCUCCUUUUAAUUAUUCCACCAUCCCAAUGUAACCAUUUGAAGGUUCCAAUUAACCAUCAAAAGCUGCAAACAAAGUAGAUACUUUUUGACACCAUAUAUUUAUAGAUCAAUUAAUU